rnacentral:lncRNA from 1 species
GCAUCCUGUCAUCUUAAUCAAGAUUUUCAUCAUGAUAUAUUUGUUACCUGUGCUGUGGGAAGAUCAUAGGGCAGUGCUCAAGGUAGAAGUCCUUGAUAUCUUUGGCGGAAAACAAGGGUCGGCCAGUGUUUUCAUUGGGAGUGGUUAGCAUGGCAGUCACGAGGCCACCGGUGCUUGUUCCUGCAAUCACAUCAAAAUAAUCUGAAAUUCUUGCGUCUUCACCAUCCAGCUUCUGCACCAUGGCCAAACAAUCUAGUGUUAGUACUUAUAAAAUAUAUCGAAUAUAGGAUAUAUAAGUUCGAGAUUAGGUAUAUAUUAAUUUUAAAAGGCAAAUGGAAAGGCCAUAUUUUGUUAUUAUCAUGUAAAACCUUAUAUUUCCUACCUGAAGCUCAGACUCGAGGAAGCCAAGGACUGUUCCUGGGAUAAGCCCUCUUAUUCCACCUCCAUCGAUGCUGAGAAUGGUGAUUAGGUUUCCAUAAGUUGGAGGCUGUAGGGGUGAUUUUGGUUCUUCUUCCAUUAGCAAUCGAGGGAUGAAGGUAUGAACUUGAGUCAUGGAGGAGAGAAAAAGGGAGAUUUGCUAUUUCAAGAGACUUAGAAUAGAAUUGAAGUUUCUGCAGGAGACUUAGAAAUAUACUGAGACUUUUGAGUCCUCUUUGAUAACUAGGCAGGUGUAUUUAUAGACUCCUUAAUUAGCGUAUAUCCCUGAUUUUCUUGCUCAUACUUUUCUAAAUGGACCUGGUUCAAGUUGGACCCGGAUUCAUCAUUCAGGAUAAGUUGAAAAGUCCACAAGCAAAUCUUCUUGUCUUAUAGAAGCUAGCCAAAUGGUCACAUUGGCAUGACUCCUGGCAACUGUAGGUAAGACCAAAGAGAAUAGCUGGUAAGAAGGAUUAGGUGACUCAAUAAAGGUUGAGAUAGGAUGAAUUUUCCUAACUAAUGGAGUUUGUGAACAGGUCAUGGAAACACUAAGUCUUAUGAAAUGAUUCUGGUUUCUAGCUAUGUCUGGUGCAAAGAAUCGUGAUGGAGACAAGCCUAAAUGCGCAUACCAAACAAAAAUUUAUUAUUCAAUGCACACAAAUUUGUGUUCGUAAAUGGAUGCGCUUGACUGGGGAUGGCGAUGAUUUUGAAAGAACACCAACUAGGGCAACGAAAAGUACUGGCCAACGCGGCACUUGCACCAUGAAUGACAAGGAACGAAUAAUUCAAUGUCAAGCAGCAAGGUUUUACAUAAUUUCCUGUUAGACAUGAUUUUUUUGACCUAUUAACCUCAUGCUUUUCAUACUUAAUAUCUGUAAAAUUGUACACACGAUCAUUGGCUUCUAUAGUUUGUAGAAAACUACAUGGUUAUUCAAUAUUUUUUGUAAUUACAGUUCUAAGUCCUGUGAAUUUUAGAUGAUGUGCAGUGCGAAGACUUGGUUGACUGUUAGUUACUGAGGUUUUCCCACAUCUCCCAAAUGUUAAAAUGAUGAAAUUAUUGCCUAAGAAGCACCUGUUGCAGAAUCAUAUUUGAACGUAAGGUAGCAAAUUAUAGCUAACUAAAAAUAGGUUAUAUUAUAUUAAACUAUCAGAAGUUUUCAGUGCUUUCAUCUUUAUCAAUCUGUGUUGGGCGCUUAUUUAAUUAGCAAGGUUGGAAGUAUGAAGGGUGACAGCAUCAUUAAUGGACUUCACUUAACGUCGACCUAAUGGUGGUUAAUUGGUAUUUAAAAAUUAACUUCACAUCCAUCAAGGAAAAAAUCAUGUUUGUUUAUCAUGAUUAGGCAAAGAUGCAACGCAGCCGGGAAGUGAAAAAACGAAAGGACUGGUCAACUAAGGAAAUCUGUUGGUUGCCCUAGUGAAUUUGUGAACCAUUCACUGGAAACUUCAAAUUUCGAACACAGCAUGGCCUAUUUACUUUCAUGUUGAGCUCAGUCUAGAACAAAAAUAAUACUAUUACAGCAUUAUUAGAACAGCUCUAAAGAGUUGGGAAUUGAUGCUGGAAAUACUUUGUUCCUCAUGGUCUUUGCAUGUUAAUCUUAGCUGCUGGGCUUAGCAGGGCAUUACUAUUCAGAAAUUCUGAGAACUCCAUGCCCGCCCGUAUUUCAAAUCCCAAAUUUGACCCAAACCCUAACUUAAUUGAAAGCAGUUUAGAUUUGAUCUUUUCAAUCAGUGCCCUUGAGUCCUUGACCAUUCCACCCUUCCAAAGCCAUCCCUUCGUUUCUAUUUCAUGGAAGCUAGCUAUCUAUGCUGUAACGCCAUCAAUCCAUUCCUGACUCUUUGUGAUGCUUUAUAACCCCCGAAGGAAGAAGAGCAAAUCAGCCAAUAGAAGGUAGAUUCAAUUGGAGUUAGGGUUCUCUUACUUUAACUUAUUGAAUCCCUAGACCUAGCUAAUUAACCAGGAGCACCUUCCACCAGCAGUUUAUGUCCAUUUAUAAAUACAAUCCUAGUCAGUUCUACAUUGCCACGACCUUAACCCCUGCCUUGAACACCGGACCUUGCUGUCUGGGAACGCUGGGCAGUAAUGGUUAAUAGAGUCCCAGGGAAACCACAGAAAAAUAAGACAUUCAUAGAUUUUUACCUACAUUCAUUGACUCUUGUAUUAACAUUUUUGGCUCAUACUCUCGUGUAACAUUUGAGGAAAAAAGUGUAAAAGGAAAUUAAUAGAAGAAAAGAAAAUAUGAAUAAAAAUAAAUAAAAAAUAAAAAAUUAAUAAAUUAUUUUUAAAUGUUUCUUUAAAAUUUUAACUAAUUUUAAAUAUAUUUAAUUUUUUAAUUAUAAUUUCAAAUAAAAAAUUAUUUAGGUAAAGACAAAUAAGGUAAAGGCUAUGCAUGGGUCCAACAAAUUGAUUAAGUGCCUCAAGGAAUAAAGGCCAUUGUUUGAAAGUAAACUUGAAUUUGGAAAGUUUCCAAAAGUUAGAACAUGAUUUGAUUUCUAAAAGAUAGAAUACUUUUAAUGCAAAUCUUGCAUUGCAUUUUAUAUUUGUCAAUGGUCUUCAUCUUUUAGAUUAAGAGGAAAUGGAAUUCAUGAUUUCGGCACCCAGUUUCUUUGGAGCUUUCUCUCUUAAAAUUCCUCUCUUCCCUUCAAAUUAUUUUCUUUCCAGUUCCCAUGGUUGGAACAAUUGCUAGUACUUGGCCGGGGAUGACAUGUCAUUUCGAUGGUGGUGGUGUUUUGGUGAGUUGUUUGUCACAAGUUAAGGCUGGUGGAUGUAGAUGGGUAGUGUCGGCCCCUUAACCUUUUGACCCAAUAAAGAAGGAAAGGGCCUCAUGAGAAGGCCUUGCACCCAUGGGAGCCUAGACGGGGAGAGCAAGGAUAGCUUGGAGGUUUGGUGGUUCAAACCCCAAGAGUUGAAAUGAGGAGACCAUGUGUGGGCCAGACAAGCAUCUGGCACGCGCGCGCACUGCGUGCGCAUCAGGUAGGCUUCUCGUGCACACUUAGCGCCUACUAGGCAUAUGUGGGCUAUGGAGUUGGUGUAGAUGGAGGCUGAGGUUUAUUUUGAAAUAUAAUUUAUAAUUAUUUAAAUAUUCCAUUAUGUCUCCUUAAGCAGGUAUGAUGUCUUUUCCAAACAUCUUGAGAAUGAUUCGUAUUGCUCUUUAAAGGGGGGGAGGGUAGGUGACUUAAGGAGGCACCAUGGCACGACCUUGGGCAUGCCUAGGGCACACGGACGACACUCAAGCACGCAUACAUGGGCUCCAUGACAUGUGUGGCGUGCACCCUGUGGCUGCAACAGCAUGGGGCUUGGUGCGGCCUACCUUCUCCCUAUGCUGGCACGAGGGCGCCUAAGCCUUGUGCAGUGAGCCAGUUGGAGAAGCCAUGGGUGCAAUGCCAUGGUUUGAUGGAGCACUAGACGUGUAGCUGACUCGAACCCAUGAUGCCAAUGCAUGACACCAGGGCGCAAUGCCCUGUGCUCCAGGAAGAAACAACCAUGGGUGCAAUUCCAUGACUCGUUGUUGUGGAGCCUUGACCUGACAGAGGGAGCUAGACACAUGACUAGGCCAUGAGCACCUUAACAUGGCAUGGGCUCACACAUCAGUGUAGGGAGGACACACUGAUGCACCAGUAGGCUCACGCAAGCAGUUAUGGCGGUUGUGGCAGUUGCAUAACCACCAGUAGGCUCAUUGGUUUUGAAUUUCAAAUUGUAAUUGUAGGGUGGGUCAUUUAAAAAGGCCCUUGCCUUUUUGAGACAUAGGAUGGGAUGUUGUCUUUGAAUGCUUAGGAGAUUAAGCAUUGUACUUUGACUCAGGCAAAGUGUUGAGACACUUUGGAAAGAAAAUUUUGUAUCUUGUAGAGUUGAAUAAUACAAGUUGGGAAGGGUGUUCCCGUAAUUGUGUGGCUUGUUACAUUGUUUUUCUAAGGGUUGGAAAGAAAGGUUAGUUAAGGAAGGGUCCUUAGCACUGCACACUCAGUGAAAAAAAUUGGGCAGAUAAUCAGGGGUGUGAAAGGUAGUGUAGUUGGGUUGGUGUGGCAUUAUUUUGUUGUAGGUGGGGAUUGAAAUGCUUGAAUUUUGAUUCAAGCUCUCUCUCAUGUCUUUAUUCUUGGAAUUUUAGUGCCUGUUUCUUCUACUGUAAUGUGUUUAUAUCAUUUGUUAAUCUGAGAAUACUAUUAUGUGAUUCAUGAAAAUUUUGGAAUGAGGUAGUGCACAAUCUAUUUUAUAUCUAUGAAGUGUGGAUUUCACCAUUAGCUAGAUACAAGCAAUGGAGAGGAGGGUUGAACUUAAGACCUCCAAUCAAACCGAGCUUUGAUAACAUCUUGAAUUACCAAUUUUCCAAAAGGUUUAAACAUAUAGUAUUUGGGUUCAAUGUACAUAUCAGAUGAUGGUCAUUCUUUUGUAAUAGGAUGCAUAUUAGGUCUCAUAACCAUUAUUUCACUAAGAGGGUAUCUUAAGUUGACUUUAGGUUAAAUUAUUCUUAAAUUGUUAACUUAAAAACUUAUUACUUAUUUUUUAUUUUAAAUAUUAAGGUUGUUUGGUAAAGCUAACUUAAAAUCUAUUCUAAAUUAUCAAAUUAACAUAUUUAUAUCAUUAAUUUUGAUUAAUAUUUAAAUGUGAAUUAAUUUUAAAUAAUAAAUUGAUUUAUUAAAUAAUUAUAUUUGAAGUAUUAUAAAUAUAUAAGAUAAGUCUAAAAAUAUUAACUAUAAAAUAUGAGUUAAAUGUAAAGUCAUGAUUAUAAAAUAUACUCCCACCAAACAUGAAUAAAUGAGGUAAAAAAAUAUUUUACAUUAAAAAUAAAUUAAUUAUUUUAACUUAGUACUUAAAGUUAUUAAGUUUGACUUUAAAUUAUGAUAUUAAAUUAUUUUACUAAAUAUGUUUGAUCUACUUAAUAAUUUAAAUUAAAUCAUUAAGUUAUAUUAAGUUAUUAAGUUGAUUAACUAAACAUCACUACUACAAAAAUAAUUUAUGGUGUUACUUUUAAAAUAAUGACACCAUAUGAUUUAAAAUCCAUAAAGGUGACACAUCAUAUAAAAAUUUUCAAUUAAGAUAGAUGAUAUUAAUUUUAAGUUUAUAGUGUUAGUUUUCGAAAAGUGACACCAUAUAAAAUAAAUUUUUUAAAAUACUAUAACUUAAUGGGCCUACUUUGAGAAUAAUAAUAGUAUAAAAAAAACUCAUUGUUUCCACAUAUUCACAAUCCAAAAAAUUCUCAUUCCAUAACCCUAACCAUAAUUUUCUUCUACCUCUUCUCACACCCAUAGUUAACACACAAUUGCUUUUCUCUACUUCGUGGACUCUUAGGUAACCCAAAAUCUCUUAGAUCUAUCAUUUUCAUUUUUUUUAUUAAUGUCAAAAUCUUUAUUAGCAUAUGAAUUGAUUUAUAUUCAUUGAAAAUCUCAUUCCAUAACCCUAACCAUAAUUUUCUUCUCCCUCUUCUCACACCCGUACUUAACACACAAUUGCUCUUCUCUACUUCGUGGAAUCUAAGGUAAACCAAAAUCUCUUAGAUCUAUCAUUUUUUUUUAUUAAUGUCAAAAUCUUUAUUAGAAUAAUUGAUUUAUAUUCAUUGAUUUGGUAUAUCUGUAAUGUGGAUUGUGUAAAUAAUGUUUUUUUAUUAAGUUGUAGGAAAGUAAAAAUUAGGUUGAACAUUCCACCAUAUUUUUUGUUUCAUUGUUAAACCCAUAAACCCCAAAAUGAAUGAAAAUAAGAUAAAUAAAUGAUUUUUUAAUAUCUUUCAUACUCAAAAUGAGGGAUAAACAUUUUACGGUAUGAAAUUUUCUUUUGAUCUUACAAGAAAUUUCUUUUGAUGAGACUUUCUGUUUAUUUUCUAGGAAUAUUAUAGUAUAUUGUAAUGAAAAUAUGUAUUGGUGAUAUUUGAAAAAUAAUUUUUUAGAAAGUUAUUCUUAAUAUUGUCAUCUCCCUUAUAAGGAAAAAUGAAAUAGUUUCCAUAUCAUGUUAGAGUUGGUUUGGAAUGUUGGAAUUAACAAUGAAAAAUUAAUUUUCUUUUUUAUUUAUUAAUGUAAAUGAUUUAUUUAUUUAUUUUUAAAUUUAAAUAGGAAUGAAAGUUUUCAUAAUUAUUAAAAUGAUCAAAUCUUAUAUUUUGAUUUUUUUUUAUAUUCUUUUACAUGGUAUUAUGGUUAAUAUCUCAUCUUGUUCUAUUCAUAUUUUUUCUGUUGUGAUGAAGAUAUUGGUUGGUCAUAUUUGAAAAAUAAUUUUUGAGAAAAUUAUUUUCAAUAUUGUCAUCUCCCGCAAAAGGAUUAUAAAAAUAUGUUUUAUUUUUGCUUUCUUUUCUUAUUGUUUUUAUAUGCAUUGACCAAGCUUUGGUGUAAUUUGAAAUUGAUGAUAAAAUUUUCCUUUCAAGGUUAGGAAAUUUCUAUAAAAUCCUUUUAUUACAAACUUUUUUCCAAUUCCUUCCAUAAAACUCUUAUUUUUCUUCAUUUUUCUUUUUUCUGAAAAAGAUGUUUGAUAAUUUAUUUAUCUAAAGAAUAUUAAAAGUAAAAAAUUUAAAAUAUUGAAUAUAUUUUCCUUUGAUGUUUAAAAUUUUUAAUUUUAUUUUUAUUUGAACAUAUUUUUCAUAUCCAAUUUUUUAUUAAUUAUUUUAAUUGAAAAAAAGAAAUAUCAUUUGGAGUUAUGACUGAAAAAUCAAUAAUUUUUAUGAAAGUUCUUUAAUUCUUUCUCAUACUAUUUUUUCUCUUAACACUUUUUAAUAAUGAAUUAGGUUUUUUGUCUUAUAUACACAAUUUUCAUACUUGUUAUAAUAUCAUGUCCUAUCAUAUUAGUAGUUGAAAACAUUUUUAUAUUUUGUUACUAAAAUUUUAUUUUAUAUAAUUGAGAUGAAAUUUAAUGUACAUUGUUAUUUCACAAAAUGAACAUUUAAAAAUAUUGAAAUUAAGAAAAUCCUUUCAAGAAAUAAUAUAUAUAUAGAAUUAAAUGUUAAAAAUGAUUUUUAAAAGCAUAAUGAAUUAUAAAAAUAAAUUUAAAAAGUGCAGAUUUUAAGUAGAAGAUUAGUAUUUUCUAAAAUUUUAGAUUUAUAUUUUGAUUUUAUAGUUUUGAUUUAUUUUUUAUUUCAUGGAAUUGUUUUUAUUUGAGUUCAAAUGUGACUACUUUGUUAUGAGAUUCAUUAAAGAAAUAAUUGUUGAUUCUACAGUUAUUGCAUUAAAGGUUUUACUCAUUUAAUGAAUUGUAUAUAGUUUCAUUCUUCCAAUUAUUGUGGUAUUAAUGUUAUUGUCAUUUGAUUUCAGUUUGAUGAUUAAAAAAAAAAAAACAUAUUCUUAAGUAGAAUUUGAUGAAAUUAGAGGACAAUUGACUAUUUUUGUGUUAUAACUAAUCAUGAAUCAUGUUGCUAUAUCGUGAUCAUGCAUGGUGAGUCCCUUAGUUGUUAUAUGAAUUUUCCAUUGGUAUCGUAUAACAUUACUUAUUUUUUACGAACUAUUUUUAUAUUAAAAUGGGAAAAAGAAAAAAAAAACAUUAGUUCUUAAAUUUGUUUAUUUUUUAUAACAUUAAUUAAAUUUUAUUUUCACUAAGAACUCUAAAACUCAUUAAACUAUGAAAUGCAGGCACUAACAGAAAGAGCUUGAGGCACCAAGAAAGAUGGCCUUGAGCAAGAAAAGGAUGAGAAAAAGGACACAAUGCUUGAGUUGUCUUCCUCUUGUGUUGGAAUAUUGCAUUGUCCAUAAUCUAUUUAUAGGCUAAUCGAGCAGCAAGGCAAGUGCUAUAGAAUGCUGUUACUGAUGAGAAUUUGAAAAUCAAGAAAAUUCGGCGAACAUGAGAUGGUCAUGGAGUGCAUGCAUGGUCUUCUUUGACAUUGUCCAUGGUCCAGAUUACAUUUCUGUGAUCACACUUUCCUAUAUUUUUUGAAGACACAGAAUUUUCUCGCGUGAAGACUUUAUGAUUGACGAGUAGGUAAUGUGAUAUGCUGAUGAAGUCAGCUUCUAGCACAGAGCCCCAUUAAUGGGAUAUUGUUGAAUUGGAGAAUGUUUCCACACGCUCAAAAUGGGGCGUUGUUUUAGCAUCAAGAAAUUGUCAUCUUCAUUGGCUUGUUGGAAUAGUGAUGUAUGACUGAUGACUUGUUAGGAUUUAUCUGAAAAUAAAGUCCAAGCUUGCUGCUUCUUCUAGGGUAGCACACCAUAUAAAGCUCUCUCUCCCUCUUUCUCUCUCUCUCUUAUAAAGACAGUGAUGAUGGUCCAAAGAAGAAUUCCCAAGCAGGCAGAGAUGCACAACUGCAAGUAAUUACACACAGAAUGAAGGCGUCUGGCCAGAUUUAACAUGAGAAAAUCAUGAUUAAUACAUGAUUCUUCACCAAUAAUUGAGUUGAAUGAGUCUACUAUUCAAAUCACAUUGUUAAAAAAAAAAACAGAUAAUAAAGAUUCAAAUCACAUUAUUAAUGAGUGGGCCGGUCUCAUUUAAGAACACGAUUUGACAUGCAAAAUUAAUGGAUCCAUCCAUAUACAACAUCUACCACAACUCAUUUAAGAACAAAUUCUGGUUAUUCUAAUAAUUCACCAUUUUUCUUCAUGGAAUCAGUUUUGAAAUAGUCCCAAUUUAGUACUAUUAAGAGAGAGUAUCAAGGAAAAUAUUUGGUAGGUGGGCGGUGAAUCAAGUUAAUUAGAUGGUGAAGAAAAACUAAUGAGAGAUGAACUUAAUCAACAAGGUGUACCUCUUUUUUCUGUUGUUAAUCCAACUGUGUUAGACAUUGCUGCUACUUAUAAUUGCCGAACAAAAGGUAAUAACUCUUGCUUGAAAUCAAAUUAAUUCCUGAUACCUUUAUUUUUUAUAUGUACACAAAAUGGCCUUCAUCAUAAGUGUUCUGCAAACGAACUGCGUGCUCCUUGAAUGUGGAGAUAUGGCUGCUCCCACGAAGUUUCCAUACCACAUUUUGAAGUAUAGCUAGUUCUCGUUCUGAUAUUAAUCCACACUAAUGCUGGCAGCUUCCAACACUGGUAUAAUACCAUGUUUUCCAUCUUUUUUUUCCCCCUGUAUGUACACAUAUUAUAAAGUCCAUAGGCUGCACACUCUUCACUAUUUUAAACGUAGAGAACCUUGUUAAAUAGUUAAUAACCAAAGAAAGAUAAAUUAAUGAACAUGCAAAUGACGUUGAUAUCUUCUAUAUAUAUAAUUAGUACUACUAGCAGUCUGCUUUGUCGUGCUGUUGCAUCCUCCUAUUCUUGUAUUUGUGUACAAGGGACAAAUCAAACCAUGAGGAUUACAUGACAACACGGCACCAUGGUCAUCACAAAUGUUGUUCAUUUGCUCUUGAAACAUAUGGUGCGGGAACCAGGACAAAUCGACUAAUCAUUACAUGCACGGCAUUAUAAUAUUGGUGAUGACAUAAUAUAUGCUAAAUAGGGUGUAAUAAAUAAAUAAAUAAAAUUAGAGAAAAAGUGUACGUAAGGGAAACAAAAAAGAAAAAAAAGAAAAAAAGAAAAUUAAAAACAUGAUGAAGAUGACAAGAGGGUAAAAGAGAUUUUUCACCAAACAUUUGAUUAUUAACUAUAGAAAUGAGUUUGGUUUACAUAUUCCUUACAAGUUAUUUUACUUUAUUAUUAAUUGAAAACGAUGUUGUAUUACUUGGCAAACAAAGAUGGUGGUAAGUUUAGAAUAAUGCAAUAUAUGAUUUGCAUGCUUUAUUCCUUGGUAAUAUUAUGAUUUUUUACUACAAUAUUCUUUAAUUGACUUGGGCAGUGUCGGGUCCAGAAAGGCUGCAUCAGUGCCUAGUGAUUCUCAUUCAGAUGUAUAUCUGGACCAUUAGGGAACCAAGAUAAUAUUUUUGUGUUUGUGUCGCUGUUGUCCUUUAAAAUUAUUUAUCCUUGCAUCUAAAUUAAUAAUUUGUUUUCUCAUACUUGUAGUUUUUGAAAUAAAGUUAAUUCAGGUAGACCAGUUUUUAAUCAGACCUCAAUGCAACAUAUCUUCCCAUCCUACCCAAGAGAAGCUACUGAAAGCUCCCAUGACUGAAGAGAGACAACAAGGAUUCUAUCCUUCUGGAUCGACCUAGCACUCUCUUUUAGAUUCUAUCCAUCUAUUUGUUCUCAUCUUAUUUCUGGGAAGUUCUGUGUGGACAACAAGGAUUCUAUCCUUCUGGAUCGACCUAGCACUCUCUUUUAGAUUCUAUCCAUCUAUUUGUUCUCAUCUUAUUUCUGGGAAGUUCUGUGUUACCCUAAUUAUCAUAUAUAUAUAUAUAUAUAUAUAUAUAUAUAUAUAUGUUUCAACCCAUCUCAGUGUCUCUUGAGUUACAAGCUAGCUAGAGACAGACAAAGGAAAAGGUCAUUGAUAGUUCUUGUAGAUUUGUAAAGGAUAAGUAUUAUUUAUCCUUACAUCUAAAUAAUUUGUUUUCUCAUGCUUGUAGUUUUUGAGAUAAAGUUAAUUCAGGUAGACCGAUUUUUAAUCAGGCCUCAAUGCAACGUAUCUUCCCAUCCUACCCAAGAGAAGCUACUGAAAGCUAGCUCCCAUGACUGCAGAGAGACAACAAGGAUUCUAUCCUUCUGGAUCGACCUAUAACAUAAUGUGUUUAUGCUGUGUUUAGGUUAUAUAUAUAUGUAAAAAUAACUUUUUUGUUUUAUGUUUUGAGUGGUUGUCAUUAGUCUACGUGGAGAUAUUUAGUCAAGUUAAAUAUCUUUGCAUCUGGUUUGAAAUCUAGUGACUGUACAACAAAAACUGCAGAACCGAGAAUGCAAAGUGAAAAAAAGAAAAAGGGUCCUUUGUUUUUUGGUGGACUGUUUUAACUCCUCUGUUCCCAGGUCUGUUCCCAGGUGUUACUCUUCCAUUUUUUCUUUGUUUAGCCAUUCUCUGUUUCAGGCUGAAACUACAGCCAACAUGACCUAGCACUCUCUUUUAGAUUCUAUCCAUCUAUUCGUUCUCAUCUUAUUUCUGGGAAGUUCUGUGUUACCCUAAUUAUCAUGUAUCUUAAAAAUAUAUCCAUCUAUAUAUGUAUAUACAUAUAUAUAUAUUAUAUGUUUCAACCCAUCUCAGUGUCACUUGAGUUACAAGCUAGCUAGAGACAGACAAAGGAAAAGGUCGUGAUAGUUCUUGUAGAUUUAUAAAGGAUAAGUAUUAUUUCCAGUCCAUUCUAAUUAAUUGCCAUUCCCAUAAUGUAGGUUGAUACAAAAUUAGAACUUAUUCAAGAAAAUAAUGGAAAUAAUUCAAUCUUGUCAGUAAAAUGUUCUGAGAAAUAGAGGUCGCACUAAAUCACAAUAAUUUUGACUUGCACAGUCCUAUCAGAACCAUAGAAGAAAUUAAGUGGAAUCUAUGGACUUACAAUACCUUAAUACUAGAAACGAUUAAAUUGGUUAUUAAAAUAUCCCAUUUGGGAUUUAUUUUUACAAUAAGAAUAGUGAAUUAAAAGGCAGACAAUCAGAAACGGGACUACAACUUAACUAGAAAUUCAUUACAACAGAAGGAAUCAUUCAUAUCAGACAACGACCAAUCCUUUAGAAGCGGCAGCAUGUCCAUGUGGUGACCUAGUAUCUCUACGUUGCUUCUCUUGGGAGAGUAGUCUUGUAAAACUGAAAAAUUAGAAGGAUUUUUUAUUAUUAUAUGAUUAGUUAAUUAACUAAGAAAACUCUAGAAUAAAACUCUAAAAAUAGUUAGAUACCUUGUGAGAGCCUCCUCAUUGGUCUCGUGAUUUGAAGGCUCAAAGAUACCUGUAUCCAGGUUAACCCUUGAGACCCUUUUCUUUAACAACUCCUCACCAAUUUUCACAAGAUCAUCCAAAUUUUCCUUUGUGGCUAUGUCGACUGAUGAUGUUAUUCCACUCAAUGUAUCAUCCUGUAUUUACCCUUUGUGUCAGUAUCAGUGGUAGACAAGGAACAGAAGAAGCAAUUGACUUUCAGAUAUUUUUAGGACUGAGGAAAUUAUGAAGAAGAACAAAAUUUAAAUAAGAAAUUUGACUUUGUAAGUGACUGUAAUUUAUGAAACCACAAGCAGCAAAGCUGUACCUGUAUCCGAAGAUAGCUUUUUUCAGAGUGAAGGGCUUGAAAAGCCUCUGAAAGGUGUAAGUCGACCAUAUCUGCGCUUGCUUGGGUAAACACUUGCACUAAGGGGGUGGAACCACCACUGGUCAACCAUCCCAACAGACCCCACUUGGCUGCUUCAUCAGCAUUGUAUUUUUCUUCGGCUUUUGAUGACCCAGUUCCCAAGGAUAUUACUAGAAACCGGCCAUAGUCCAUUGGCUUUAUAGGAAAGAAAUCAGGACUACCCCGGAUGAUCUCCUUGGUCACUUCCCCAAUAGCAACCAAAGUCUGAAACAAGAAUCAAUAGUUAAUUGAAUUGUGAAAAGAAAAAUAAAACUGGGAAGUCUAAGAUGCAACUUCAAAGUUAAUGAGUACCGGAUUAUUUGCAGCUACACCACCAUCAAUGAGGUUGAAUUCUCUAACUCUCCCGGCAGGGUCUUUGGUUUCGAAAUAAUGAGCUGGAAGAUAAGUGGGUGCUGCUGAGGUUCCAAUACAUAUAUCUGAUAGUAAGGCAUCUAAACAUGGUCUGCUCUUCACCUAGAGCAUGGAAAUCAAGCAUAUAGUAUUAAUACGAAAGUUAUUAUAGCUCCCUUCAUUCAUUACAAGCUCUUAAUUUUCAUAGUUUGGAUUAGAAGGAAAUGAAAUUGUGGAAAGAAGAUGAACCUGAUAAGUCGAAAAUAUUGUUGGCUGAAGGCGCUUGAUGUCAAAUGUUGGGAUAACAACAUUAGUAAGGGUCUGGUGUAAUCGUGUUUCUCCUAGUUUUUCUUUAACAAGGUUGUGCAGAUACUUCCCAUCAUAUUUUGGUCCUGAUAAGGCUGUAACUACCUUUGUAACACGAGGAAUUGGAUCAUGACUGCAUUUAAAAGAAAGAUCAUGUUAAUAACUACAAAAAAUAUUGAAGUCUAGUUAAUUUUAUAUACAUAUAUACUAGCAUCCUGUCAUCUUAAUCAAGAUUUUCAUCAUGAUAUAUUUGUUACCUGUGCUGUGGGAAGAUCUUAGGGCCGUGCUCAAGGUAGAAGUCCUUGAUAUCUUUGGCAGAAAACAAGGGUCGGCCAGUGUUUUCAUUGGGAGUAGUUAGCAUGGCAGUCACGAGGCCACCCGUGCUUGUUCCUGCAAUCACAUCAAAAUAAUCUGAAAUUCUCGCGUCUUCACCAUCCAGCUUCUGCACCAUGGCCAAACAAUCUAGUGUUAGUACGUAUAAAAUAUAGCCACUAUAGGAUAUAAGUUUCAGAUUAGGUAUAUACUAAUUUUAAAAGGCAAAUGGAAAAGCCAUAUUUUGUUAUUAUCAUGUAAAACCUUAUAUUUCCUACCUGAAGCUCAGACUCGAGGAAGCCAAGGACUGUUCCUGGGAUAAUCCCUCUUAUUCCACCUCCAUCGAUGCUGAGAAUGGUGAUUAGGUUUCCAUAAGUUGGAGGCUGUAGGGGUGAUUUUGGUCCUUCUCCCAUUAGGGAUGGAGUGAUGGAGGUAUGAACUUGAGUGAUAGAGCAGAGAAAAUGAGAGACUUGUUAUUUCAAGAGACUUAGAAUAGAAUUGAAGUUUCUGCAGGAGACUUAGAAAUGUAGAGAGACUUGGAGUUCUCUUUGAUAACUAGACAGGAGUAUUUAUAGACUCCUUAGCAUAUAUCCCUCAUUUUUCUUGCUCAUACUUUUCUAAAUGGACCUGGUUCAAGUUGGACCGCGGAUUCAUCAUUCGGGAUAAGUUGAAAAGUCCACAAGCAACCAGUAUCUUCUUGUUUUAUAGAAGCUAGCCAAAUGGUCAUAGACAUGACUCCUGGCAACUGUAGGUAAGACCAAAGAGAAUAGCUGGUAAGAAGGAUUAGGUGACUCAAUAAAGGUUGAGAUAGGAUGAAUUUUCCUAACUAAUGGAGUUUGUGAACAGGUCAUGGAAACACUAAGUCUUAUGAAAUGAUUCUGGUUUCUAGCUAUGUCUGGUGCAAAGAAUCAUGAUGGAGACAAGCCUAAAUGUGCAUACCAAACAAAAAUUUAUUAUUCAAUGUGCACAAAUUUGUGUUCGUAAAUGGAUGCGCUUGACUGGGGAUGGCGAUGAUUUUGAAAGAACACCAACUAGGGCAACGAAAAGUACUGGCCAACGCGGCACUUGCACCGUGAAUGACAAGGAACGGAUAAUUCAAUGUCAAGCAGCAAGGUUUUACAUAAUUUCCCGUUAGACAUGAUUUUUUUUGACCUAUUAACCUCAUGCUUUUCAUACUUAAUAUCUGUAAAAUUGUACACACCAUCAUUGGCUUCUAUAGUUUGUAGAAAACUACAUGGUUAUUCAAUAUUUUUUAUAAUUACAGUUCUAAGUCCUGUGAAUUUUAGAUGAUGUGCAGUGCAAAGACUUGGUUGACUGUUAGUUACUGAGGUUUUCCCACAUCUCCCAAAUGUUAAAAUGAUGAAAUUAUUGCCUAAGAAGCACCUGUUGCAGAAUCAUAUUUGGAGGUAAGAUAGCAGAUUAUAGCUAACUAAAAAUAGGUUGUAUUAUAUUAAACUACAAAUAGUUUUCAGUACUUUUGUCUUUAUCAAUCUGUGUUAGGCACUUAUUUAGCAAGGUUGGAAGUAUGAGGGGUGGCAGCAUCCUUAAUGGACUUCACUUUAUGUCGACCUAUCGUGGUCAAUUUGUAUUUAAUGAUUAACUUCACAUCCAUGAACGAAAAAAUCAUGUUUGUUUAUCAUGGUUAGGCAAAGAUGCAAUGCAUCCGUGAAGUGAAAAAAAGAAAGGACUGGUCAACUAAGAAAAUCUGUUGGUUGCCCUAUUGAAUUUGUGAACAAUUCACAGGAAGGUUCAAAUUUCGGACACAGCAUGGCCUAUUCACUUUCAUCUUGUGCUUAAUCUAGAACAAAAAUAAUACUACUACAGCCUAAUUAGAACAGCUCUAAAGAGUUGGGAAUUGAUGCUGUAAAUACUUUGUUCCUUAUGGUCUUUGCAUGUUAAUCUUAGCUGCUGGGCUUAGCUGGGCAUUAAUAUUCAGAAAUUCUGAUAAGUCUAUUGCCUGUAUUUCAAAUCCCAAAUUUGAUCCAAGCCAUAUAUAACUUAAUUGAAAACAGUAUAGAUUUUAUCUUUUCAAUCAGUGCCCUUGACCAUUCCACCGUUCCAAAGCCAUCCCUUUGUUUCUAUUUCAUGGAAGCUAGCUAUCUAUGCUGUAAUGCCAUCAAUCCAUUCCUGAUUCUUUGUGAUGCUUAAUUUAUAACCUCCGAAGUCCAUUUGCUUACAUUGAUUACUUACAUAGAAUUGAUAUGAUCAUGGAAAUAAAUAACGGAAGGAUUCUAUGCAAUUUACUUCAAGAUUAAUGAACCUACGUCUACUAAAAAGUUUUGUUUUAUUAUAUGUAGCUUUGAUCUCAACUUAUAUAUCUGCUGCAAUUCAUAUAUGAGAUAGGGUUUUCUUGUCCUCAUAGUCUGCACAACUUUCUACCAAAGAAGUUCACAAUGUGGAGUAUGAUUUAAAGGCUGGGAUGAACUGAGAAAAUGAGCGAAUGUUGAAAAUCUGAAGGUAUUUAUUAGAAUAGCAGGGCAUUUUUGUAUUGGUAAUAAAUCCGUUGUAUUUUCUGUUUUGUUCUGUUUUGUGAUCUGGUGAGUCAGUUACGGGUGUAGUUCUCUAGGCUCUAUAUAUAGGCAUGCUUUUGGGUAUUCUGAAUUGAUCUUCAGAAAACAUGAAUGAAAAGCAGAUUUUCUUUGUAGACCCUCUCCCUUUUUCUUCAAAAACAACUAACAUGGUAUCAGAGCUUUUCCUUCUACUCGCCUCUGUUCGUAUUCAUCUUUCUGUCUGAUGGCUAGAGGUAAUCAAUCCAACGUGCGUGCUGUGGUUAGAUUUUUCGACUUGUCACCAAUGGAGGAUUCAGGUAGCCCAUUUUAUCUCCAUAAUUCCACUGUCACUCUUCCAAAUGAACAUUCUGUUGCUGUCACUAGAGUAGGGUCUGUUGAAUUGUUUGAUUGUUUCAUUAUCGAAAAUGUUUUAUAUGUCCCACAGUUUCAUUUCAAUCUUCUUUCUGUUAGUGCCCUUACUCAAUAUCAUCAUUGCUCAGUGCAUUUUGUAUCUGAAUCUUGUUUUAUCCAGGACCGUAUGCAAGGGAAGAUGAUUGAGAUGGGUAGAUGCCGUGGCAAUCUCUAUGUUUUGAAUCCUACCAACCUUUUUCCUAUACCUUCUAGUGUCACAACUAUUUGUAAUAAUGCCUCAAAGACGGAACACGAGCUUUGGCAUUACCAUCUGGGUCAUCCCUUUUAUAAUAGGCUCAAUUCAUUGAAAGAUGUAUUAAAUCUCAAACUAUUUGUUGGCCACCCUUCUCAUUGUUCAAAUUUUCAUUUAGCUAAACAAAAGCGUUUGACAUUUCCAAUUUCAGACACAAUUUCAUCGUCUCCUGACAACCCGACUCUUGGUAGCUUGGCAUGUAAGGGUAUCAACAAAAUUUAUACCUAAGGUCCUUACACUAAAGUAGCAAAGCUACUAUAGCAUAGUGGCUCUAGGAUCGAACACUGGGAAGGGUUUUUACUUUAACUGGUGAAGUUCGGAGGAUGGAGUGAACUUUUCUUAAUAAAAAUUAGGUUAAGAUGAAAACAUAAAAAGAUGAAGGUGUUGUACUAAACUAACAUGAAAAUAGGUUAAAAGAUGGAAAAAGAAGUUUCUCAAAGCUUUGGAUAACCAUGUUUAACUCACUGUGUAAAAAUGGAGAUUUUGGAACUUUUCACCUCGAGUUGGGGAAGCAACUAAGGUGAUGCUUACUUCCCGAACCGGUAUGUGUUUAACAACUGAGUUUUAGUCCUUCAAAACUUACAAAAAGGGUAGCUGAACCUCAUAAAUGCUCUUUUAAUGAUAUAGGUCAUCUCCUCGACUUGCAAUACAAUGGCUCGUAGGAGAUAACUAAUGAACGUCAGUGGAUCUAACAAUAAGAAUCCACUGAGACCAAAAGGUUAUCAAGUAUUGGCCAUUCAAAGCAAGUCAGAGGGAUUAAAAGCUUUACUUUGAAUGAAAACAUUUAUGAUGCUCAACUACUUACAUUCAUGGCUUGGAAAUCUCCAUCCUGACACAGGAGCUUCACAUGACAUCCAUUACUUCAAGAAACUAAAAGGUUUUAGCCUCUCAUCCUUGGGGAUUUCAUCCUCCAAGGAUGUUUGGCUACUAAGAAAAUAGAAAAUAGUAGAGAGAAAAAGAAAGCAAAAGAUACUCUGUAUUUAGCUAAGUGUAAAAUUUACAUAAGUUGGUCUCCUGGGGAAAGUUCCCCGACCCUUUAAAAAUGAAAAUUACAAAACAAUAUAUAUCAGGUUGUUUACCCCUGUAUUCUUGCUUAACAACUAAGGAAUCAUCUAAUUGGUGGAUUACAAGGAGAGAAUUGGGAUUUAGACAACAAAUAUUUGAAGUAAAAUAUCAAAAAACGUCGGUCGCAAAUAUCUGGAAGCACUCAGGAGAAUUUCGCAGGCGCACAAAAUGGCUGCGAAAUUUCGCAGACGAACAAGAUGGCUGCGAAAUCAUUUCGCAGCCGAAGGCUGAUUUCGCAGCCAAAGGCUGAUUUCGCAGCCCUGCGAAAUUGGCCUUCAGCUUGGAGUGAUCUGCUUCCAUUGGCUCUAACUUCUUCAUUUCAACUUUGAUUUGCGAACCGUUUGAAGCAUUGGAUUGUUGGCUUCCCAAUCUUCGAAACGACAUAAAGUAUGCAUAAAUUGGACUUCAGAAAGUACUCCAAAAGUGGCUGAAAUGACUGUCAUAAAAAAUGCUUCAAGGUAGAUUCUCUCUUUACUUCUCCUCCUUGCAUUCCGGAUUGGUUAUGGCAAAGGACUUUAAGGCUUCAAAGCUCUGAUUCUUCAUGUUUCUGAGCUUUCCAUUGCUUUGCCAUGGAUUCCAAAUAACUCUCCUCCAUCUUGGAUUGCUUUGGUGAUCAAAUUACUAACAAAAACACCAAAACUUACACAAAGUGAUUAGAAGUGAUUGCAAAGGUCCUUAAUAUGUUAAUUGGGUUAAAAGGCAAUAAUUACUACUCAAAAGUGUUUAAAAGAGUUAAUUACAAGCUAUCAAAUAGCACUUUUUGAGUAGUAAUCAUCUCCUUUUGAAUUACUACACCUUGAUAUAUGGGGUUCUUUUCAUCACCCCACACAUGAAGGUUUUCGUUACUUCCUUACCAUUGUUGAUGCUUUUUUCUUGAUUUACUUGGAUAUACUUGCCGCAUGCUAAAUUUGAUGUCCUUGAUGUCUUUCCGACAUUUUAUAAUCUUGUUCAUACUGCAUUUGGUAUUAAAAUAAAAUCAGUGCAUUGUGACAAUGCUCCUAAGCUUUCUUUUUCAAAUUUCUUUCGAGAAAAAAGGAUUUUAUCUUUUCAUUCUUGCGUUGACAUGCCUCAACAAAAUUCAGGAGUUGAGCAUAAGCACCAACAUAUUUUAAAUGUUGCAAGAGCACUAUUGUUGCAAUCCAAUGUCCCAUUAGGAUAUUGGGGUGAUUGUGUAUUAAUUGCCACAUACCUUAUUAAUAAGACUCCAACACCUAUCUUAUCUAACAAAACUCCAUGUGAAGUUCUAUACAAUAAAGUUUCCUUCUAUACUCACUUUUGAGCUUUUGGUUACUUGUAUUAUCGUUCUAGCCUUACUCACCAUAGCACAAAAUUCUCUCCACGAGCCAUUCCUUUAGUGUUUCUUGGUUACCCACCUGGUUAUAAAGGUUACAAGUUGUUGAAUCUCUCCACCAAUGCCAUAUGCAUUAGCCGUGAUGUAGUUUUCCAUGAAUUUCUAUUUCCUUUUCGGUCCAUUGAUUCAAACUUUUCCUCUUGUGAUUUUUUUUUAAUCGAGUUCUUCCUUCUUCCAUUCACAAUUUUUUUUUUCUGUUUCUAAUGUUCCAAAACUUAUCUCACCCCCUACAGUCUUUACCAAACUUGCUGUCCCUUCCACUUCUCGUCCUGUUUGCCUCCCUAAACCACCAUUAUAUCUCCAAGAUUAUCAUUGUUAUUCCACAGUUUAAUCCACAUCUUCUGUAACAUAUCCUCUUUCUAGUGUUCUUGGCUAUGGUAAGCUCUCCUCUUCUCAUCAUGCUCUUGUUCAUGCCAUUUCUUCCCACAUUGAACCAACUUCCUUCUCUCAAGUUGUUGUGAUUCCAGAGUGGUACCAAGCUAUGCAGGCUAAACUUCAAGCUCUUAAACAAAAUGGUACAUGGUCUUUGACAUCUCUUCCUCCUGUCAAACAUCCCGUGGGAUGUAAAUAGGUCUACAAGCUCAAAUUUUGAGCUGAUGGUUCUCUUGAGCGUCACAAAGCUUGUCUUGUUGCAAAGGGAUAUACUCAACAAGAGGGUGUAGAUUAUCUUGACACCUUCUCUCCCAUAGCAAAAUUAGUCAUUGUCAAGUUUUUUUUUUUUGGCUCUUGUUGUGAUUCAUGGCUGGUUUCUCACUCAACUUGAUGUUGACAAUGCAUUCCUUCAUGGUGAUAUGACCUAAGGAGUUUACAUGUCCCUUCCUCCAAGGUAUCACUGUGAGGGGGAGUCCUCACCUUCCAAUGUUGUUUGCAAGCUCUACAAGUCAAUUUAUGGGUUGAAACAAGCUUCUGGAUAGUGGUUUGCAAAAUUUUAUGGUAUUCUGUUAGCUAAAGGUUUCACACAAUCAAUUGUGGAUCAUUCCUUGUUUACCAAAUAUGAUGGUGACUCCCAUAUUGCCUUAUUGGCAUAUGUUGAUGACGUUGUCAUUGUGAUCAACAAUUCCAACCAUAUUGAAGAUCUCAAAAGGUUUCUUGACAACCAAUUUAAGCUCAAAGACCUUGGAUAACUUAAAUAUUUCCUUGGUCUCGAAGUUCCUAGGACAAGUAAGGGGAUUUCAGUUAGCCAAAUACAUCACGCUCUUCAAUUGCUAUCUGAUAUAGGUUUUUUGGGAUGUAAACCUACAAGUACACGAAUGGAAGCUAAUAUCCAACUUUCUCAAGAUGAUGGGGAGAUUCUUGAAGAUGCUGGAUUGUAUAGGUGAUUGAUUAGCAAGCUCCUAUAUCUCACAAUCAUGCAACCUGAUCUAUCUUACUCAGUUAAUCGACUUAGUCAGUAUCUUGCCAACCCAAGAUCUACUCACUUGCAAGCUGUUCAUCGAAUUUUACAAUAUAUUAAAGGUACAAUUGGCCAAGGUAUGUACUUUCCUUUUUCUUCAACAACCCAACUCAAAGCCUUUACUGACUCAGAUUGGGGUGCUGUGCUUGUAAAGAUAUAAGAAGAUCCAUCAAUGGGUUUUGCAUUUUUCUUGGAGAAUCAUUGAUUUCAUGGAAGUUUAGGAAACAAAGUACAGUUCCACGCUCGUUAGCUGAGGCAGAAUAUCAAGCAAUGGAAAAUACCACUUGUGAACUAGUCUGGUUGAUGUCUUUCCUUCCUGAUUUUUGCAUUGAACACAAACAACCAACUAUAUUAUUCUGUGACAAUGAGGCAGCACUUCACAUUGCUGCCAAUCUUGUGUUUCACGAACAGACCAAACACAUCGAAAUUGAUUGCCAUCUUGUUUGUGAGAUGAUACAAACAGGUUGUCUCAAAACAAUGCAUGUAUCUUCUCAACAUCAAAUUGCAGAUCUCCUUACCAAGGCUCUCUUACCAACACAGUUUAAAUUUCUUCUCAACAAGAUGGGAAUUCACAAUAUUCAUUCUCCAUCUUGAGGGGGAGUAUUAGAAUAGCAGGGUAUUUUUGUAUUGGUAAUAAAUCCGUUGUAUUUUCUGUUUUGUAAUCUAGUGAGUCAGUUAUGGGUGUAGUUCUCUAGGCUCUAUAUAUAGGCAUGCUUUUGGGUAUUUUGAACUGAUCUUCAGAAAACAUGAAUGAAUAACAGAUUUUCGUUGUAAACCCUUUCCCUUUUUCUUCAGAAACAACUAACAAUAUUGAAACCCUUAAUUAACUAGCAUUUUUAUUUACUCUGGAUGAAGAUGGGGCUGAAGGAAGAGUGCUUGAAGUUAAUUUCCUUUGUAACCCAUCCAUUUUGCUUCAGCUAAGAUGAAGGAAGAAGAGAAAUCAGCCAAUAUAAGGUAGAUUCAAUUGGAGUUAGGGUUCUCUUACUUUAGCUUAUUGAAUCCUUAGGCCCAGCUAAUUAACCAGGAGCACCACCCACCAACAGUUUAUGUCCAUUGAUAAAUACAAUCCUAGUCAGUUCUACACUGCCACGACCUUAACCCCUGCCUUGAACACCAGACCUUGCUGUCCGGGAACGCUGGCCAGUAAUGGUUAAUAGAGUCCUAGGGAAACCACAGAAAAAUAAGACAUUCAUAGAUUUUUACAUACGUUCAUAGACUCUUGUAUUAACAUUUUUGACUCGUGUAACAUUUGAGGAAAAAAGUGUAAAAAGAAAAUGAAGAAGGAAAUUAAUAGAAGAAAAGAAAAUAUGAAGAAAAAUAAAUAAAAAUUUUAAAAUUAAUUAAUUAUUUUUAUAUAUUUCUUUAAAAUUUUAACUAAUUUUAAAAAUAUUUCAAUUUUUUAGUAUUUUUUUAUUAUAAUUUCAAAUUUAAAAAUUAUAUUAAAUUUUUUUUUUAUAUUUUUUAUUAUAAUGUCGAAUAAAAAAUUUCGGCACCUUAGUUUCUUAGGAGAUUUCUCUCUUCAAAUUCCUCUAUUCCCUUCAAAUUAUGUUCUCUCCAGUUCCCAUGGUUGGAACAGCAGCCAGUACUUGGGUACGCUAUGUCAUUUUGAUGGUGGUGGCGUUUUGGUGAGUUGUUUGUCACAAGCGCUCUGAGGCUGGUGGAUGUAGGUGGGUGGUGUAGUGGGGUUGGUGUGGCACUAUUGUGUUGUAGGUGGGGAUUGAAAUGCUUAAAUUCUGAUUCAAGCUCUCUCUCAUGUCUUUAUUCUUGGACUUUCAGCGCCUAUUUCUUCCGCCACAAUGUGUUUAUAUCAUUUGUUAAUCUGAGACUACUAUUAUGUGAUUCAUGAAAUUUUUGGAAUGAGGUAGUGCACAAUGUGUUUAUAUCUAUGUAGUGUGGAUUUUACCAUUAGCUAGAUACAAGCAACAGGGAAGUGCAAGAUAAUAUGUGUUCGUGUGUGCACCAGAAAAGAAUUUUAACCAGGGUGAAAUUCAAACUGUGGUUGUGGGCUAUAUCUACCGUGCUUCAAUUUUUUGAUAGGGAUAUUUGAUCAACAACUUUUGAAAAAUUUAUGAAUUCAACAAAAUAUCUCUUCAAUAUUAACAUUGCCUUGAAAAUGAUGAAGAAAUACAUCACAUUGACAAUCUUGUCAGGCUGUGCAGGAGAUAUAGUCCUUCUGAAACUUUCACAAUAUUACCCACCAUCAAACCUAAGAUAAUAUUUCACCCAACUUGCCUCUUCUCUUUUUGAUAAAGUAUCACAAUCCGUGAUGGUGUGGGCUCUUGCAUUAAAUUGUGUUUAAGCAUCAUGUCUAAUUUGUUUCAUUUGUUUUGCGAGUGUCAAACAUAUACAACUUUUUUCAUUUUUCAGAUUAAACAAGUUGGUUUCUAGGGAGGAUACUAGGUUUUGUGAUAGUAUGAAGCUAUUUGAUGUUUUCAGUGUGUAAAGAAGAAGUUAGAGGACUCCCUGUACUCUUUUGAUGAAGUAUGUAUGGGCAUUGAAGUCUUGAACGUUAAGCAAAUAAAGAAGUUGUAUAUUGAUAUAAUAAUACGAGGCAUGUACAUAUAUAACCUUAUGGAGAUCUUUCUGGUCCGCUUAAUUUCAAUGAUGUGUAUUUGCUUUGAAUUUGGGUUCUUGGAUAUGGUCUCAGUUGGAUAUGGCCAUCUUUGGAGGAAUACAAUAAUGUAUGAUCUCAAAUUUAACAGUAUCCAUUUUCUUUGGCAAGAAGAUGAUCUCAUAGAGAUAGUGUGGGAACUUUAGGUAAGAGGACUCUCAAAGAAUUGUAGGUAAGAAUAGUUAGGUGAAGUGAUCAAGCUGAACAUGAGAUGGAUUAUCCUAACCAGUCAAAAACACUAUGCGACAAAGGCCAUACUUUGUUCAUAAAUAACUGUGGUUCAAGUGUCUAGCGACAUGAUAAGGGGGACAUACCUGGUUGUUGCGAUCAAGAAUUGGUAAUUGGCAUUCUGAACAUACUUUAUUAUCAUUAAUUUUUUGUGAGAGGUGGUGCCUUAUCUGGUUGCGGAGGAGUCAAUUGGUGCGGCGAUUAGUAGGUAAUGGCAUUUCCACAUGCCAACAGCCAAUAAUACUAAUGACCAUGAAAGCGUCAAUCAGGGUGGCGCUGAUUGCAGGGCAACCUUGUGCAUCAAGAAUGAUUAGUACUAGAGAAUUCAACAAAUUAAGGUAUACCAUUCUGUUAUUCUUCCAUAAAACUUUCAACGCUGAAUGGGAGAAUAGGUUGGUUUUGACAACUUAGACUGUAGAAGUCUAAGCUUCCAUCUCGUUUUAGCCUAACUUUUUCCUUGUCCAAUAGUUUAUAUUUUCUUUCUUAUUUUCAGUAAAUUUUUUAUGCUAAAAACAUUGGCUUGUUCACACAUUAAUUCUAAUUAAACAGCAUGCAUGACAAUAAAAUACCACUAGAUGUUUUUCAGUUGCAUCUCUUUCAGCAUGUUUCAUAAUUUCGAAAUUUAAAAGAAAAAUCCUAUUCCUUUUUCCCCUUAAUCACUGCACCAUGCAUUCAAAGUAGUAAUUCUGUUUUGAGCAAGAUUUGCAUUUCAUAUGCAUAACAACUUCCAUAUGCAGUUACUGCUCCUUGUGUGACAAAUGGGGUUGAGAGUUGGGGUAUGCUUAUCCUUUUACUGUCAUGGUGAACUGAGAAUGGUUAGUUGUCCAUAAGCUCAAGGGCUUUGUUGGGAGGAAGAGGAAGAAGAAGAAGAAGUCCUUUUACUGUCAUAGAAAACUGAGAAUGGUUAGGUCCAUGAGCUCUAGGUCUUUUCUGGGAAGAGGAAGGCUAAAAGGAAGAAAAAGAAGAUACAACUGAUGUACGAAGAAGAAGAAGAUUAUCGUGAUAAUUGCAACUGGGACUAUAUAUAACUUGAAUAUUAAGGCAUACUACUCAAAUUUUCCACACUUGCCCUAACAAAUAAAAUAAGAUAAUCGUGGAAGAUGCUAGCAUAUAUAUCCUAAACUGAUCUAGGUAUCCUAUCCUAAACUACUUUAAAUGUUAAUUAAGGAAUGCAACAUCACUUAAAUAUUGUUGUCUUUCAAACAAGGCACACAACACAUCAAGUUAUCACACUACAUGGCAUUUAUUUAAUAAUAUACUAAUUAAUUGAACUGGAACUGACAAACUUCAAUUUAAGAUUAUUUCUGAUUAAUUUGCUGCACAUCCAUCUGGGACUUGGCAUCAUGAAGGCGUUUCUCUUGUGACAGUACUUCUGCAAACCUGUGACAUUGAGAGCAAUUCGAUCAGUAUUAAUGAAUGAUAGAAGAACAGGUGGCAUAUGUAGAGGGGCUUGUUUAUUAAUCCGGCAUAUUGAUGUUUAUGAUCACAUGCGUUCUCAUCUGAAAUGAAAUUACUAUGUAGUUUUGAUUCAAUAAUUAGUGGACAGAAUUUUAUACAGUAAACAGAUUUACAAUGAGAACUGAAUCUAAGACUAAUUUGAUACCUCAUGAGAGCCUCUUCAUUUGUCUGUUCACUUGAAGGCUCCAAAUUUGAUACCACAAUCAGUUGGCUUUAUAGAAAAGAAAUGAGGAUUUCCCCCACAAAUCUCGUUAGUCACUUUGCCACUGGAAAUUAAAGCCUGAAAGGGAUCAAUAGUAGGUCACAAUUAUUACAACAAUUCAUCACUCAUUUGUGUUUCAGUAAUAGAUAUACAAUACCGGAUUAUUGGAAGCUACUCCAUCAAUAAGAUUGAAAUUUUCUAACUCUCCCUGUGACAUAAUCUUUGAGAGAUAAGUUGGAGCAGCUAGCUGAAGUUCCUAUGCAUAUCACCGAGAGUAAGGCAUCUAUGCUUGGGUGCUGUUUGACCUAGAUCACCAUGAAUAUCAAUAGUAAGUAAGUUUCUUUUCUGAUAAUGAGGACCAUGAAAAAAAAUGGUGAAAUAGUACAUUCCAAAGAUUUUUGUAUGCAUAACUAACUAAACCUUAAUGUUGGAGAAGAUGGUGAUGAACUACCAAUUUUCUUGAAAACUUAAGUUUGAAGGAUUUGAGUUCAAUAUGCAUAUCAUGCUCCUUAACACUCUCAUGUGAUCCUUAACACCUUCCCUCACAUGCGGUCCCAUCCCCGCACGCAAAGAGAUAAACAAAAUUUGGAUUCAUAUUUAGAAAAACAAACAGGAGAUAUGCAAAUUAAGACCUCCAACCAAACUAAGCUUUAAUACCAUCUUGAACUACUAAUUUUUCAAAAAGCUUAAACUCAUAGUAUUUGGGUUCAGUAUGCAUAUCAAAUGAUGGUUAUUCUUUUGUAAUAGGAUGCAUAUUAGGUCUCAUAACCAUUCUUUUACUCAAAGGGUGUCUUAAGUUGACCCUAAGUUAAAUUAUUCUUAAAUUGUUAACUUAAAAACUUAUUAGUUAUUUUUAAAAAAAAUUAUUAAAGUUGUUUGGUAAAGCUAACUUAAAAUCUAUUUUAAAUUAUCAAAUAUUUGUUUUUGUAAUAUUUAGAUUUUCUUAUAAAAUAAAGAAAGUUAUUAAAAAUAUUUUCAUAAAUAUUUUAACUCAUGAGUGAAAAAGGUUAUAAGAUAUACAUGAAGACUAAUAUGUGGUGAAUAGCCAUAUAAUAAAGAAUGGUUGGGAAUCAAUAGUCAUAUCUAGUUUUUGGCCUCUAAUACUUUCUAUGACAUAAUGAUUAAAAUGGUAGACUGUUUUAUUUUUAUAAAGCUUUCGCUAGCAUAACACUACUUCUAACCUAAAAAAUGUAGAAAAUUUUUCAAAAUUAUUUCAAAAUAUGCUUAAACAGUUUUAAGUACUUGGAAUUAUAAAAGAUGAGAGGGAUCAAUUGUAAUGAGUUAUUUAAAUGAUAUAUUAUGAAUUCAAAAAAGAAGAAAAAAAAAAACCUUUAGGAGUCAAGAUACCUAAAACUUAGCUAAAGGGACUGGUAGAGUAUUUUAUGGAAGCAAGAUUCUCAAGCCUCAUACUCUUUUAAAAAAAAUGAAAAUAUCUUCUCUUUUAUUUCUCCUUAUAAUCUUUGGGAAAAAAAAAACGGAAUAUAAAGAGAUAUUAUAAAUAUAUAUAUAUAUUCUCUAUAAUUUCUCUUAAAAACCCCUCCAUAUUCCUCUUUAAUGUUGUGGAAAAGAAACUAAAAUAAAUACGUUAAUGCAUAUGACAAUGUUUCUACUUAAAGUGUAUUUAAUAUAAAUAUUUUUUCUAUUAGUAAUUUUAGGAAAAUCAUUUAUCAUUUAUUAAAUGUUUCUUUAAAAAGUGCUAGCUAUAAGUUAAUUUUUCAUAUUUUUAAAAUAUUUUCUUAAUUUUAUCAAAUUCUAUUUUAAUUUUCAAAAAUAAUUUUUUAAAUUAAAAAUACUUUCCAAAAUCAUGACACCAUCGAAUAAAUAUUUAUCAUAGUUAUCAGUUUAAUCACCACAUAAAAAGUUGAUGUGGUCCAAAAUGAUGUAGGUAGGUAGGUGAGCGGGAUUGAAUAAGCAUUUGGAUUGUAAAUUGUUCACUGUUUUUUAAAGUUGUGUAGUGAUAAUUUUUAAAGAAAAGUCGCUCCAAGAACCCUACUUCCACAUAAUAUUAAAUAAUUUAUACCUGAAGUUGAGGUUCCAGGCAAGCAAGGAUAGUUGCAGGAAUGAUGCCCCUGAUACCACCUCCAUCAAUACUAAGAAUGGUGACUAGGUUACCAUAAGUUGGGGGCUGGAUUUGAGGUAAGAGUGAUUUCUCCAUCUGAAAAAUGAUAAUUAUAGGAUUGUAUGCACUAACUUACAACAAGAAACUAAGAAAUCCUUGGAUAAAAGAAAGAUGUGAAGAAAAAGAAAAGAGCUUGAGGCACCAAGAAAGAUGGCCUUGAGCAAGAAAAGGAUGAGAAAAAAGAAACAAUGCUCGAGUUGUCUUCCCUCUUGUGUUGGAUUGCAUUGUCCAGAAUCUAUUUAUAGGCUAAUCGAGCAGCAAGGCACGUGCUAUAGAAUGCGGUUACUGACGAGUAGGUAAUGUGAUAUGAUGAUGAAGUCUGCUUCUGGCACAGAGCUCCUUUCCCAGGUAUUCUUUUAGUUUAUGUAUGAAGGAUUUAUCUGAAAAUAAAGUCUAAGCUUGCUGCUUCUUCUAGGGUAGCAUACCAUAUAAAGUCUAAGCUUGAUAUUUUAUGAUAGUACAACUAGCAGUCUGCUUUGUCAUGCUGUUGCAUCCUCCUAUUCUUGUAUUUGUGUGUAAGGGACAAAUCAAACUUUGAGGAUUGCAUGACAACACGACACUAUGCUCAUCACAGAUGUUCAAUUGUUCAGUAUAUAUAAACAUGAAACAUAUAUUUUUAUUUAUUUAUUUAUUUUUUAAUAUAUAAAACCAUGAUUUCGUUACAAAUAGAAGUAAACAUUUUAUCAGUGUUUUCAUUCACAUGUACACGCCCUAUAAAUAUUAAUCAUUUUCCAUCUCACCUGAUGAGAAUAAAAAUGCAUAAUAUACCAUUGUGACUCCAUGCAUGAAUGCAUUCCAUAGUGAUACAUGAGCUUAGCAUCUCCAGCUGGAGUUGCUUACAUGAAGCAUCCUUCCAAUUUUCAACUCUUUUUUUACACCUUUCUCCAUCUUUUUCUCUUUUCCAAUUGAGUUCCUCCAUUUUUUACCAUCAUUUGAUUCUUUCUUGGCUUUUCUGAAUUUCAUGUACUUCUUGAAUUUUUUAGCAAACUUAGUAAGCUCACCCUCCGACAUUUUCUCAUCAUCCUCACUUUCGGAACUUAGGGACUCUUCUUUAAUAGCUUUUAAAGCAAUUCCCUUAGCUUUCCUAGGUGAUACAAGAGUAAUCUCAAAGGUUUGGAGGGAACCUACAAGUUCAUAUAUCUUCAAGGAAUCCACAUCCUUAGACUCUUUAAUGGCGGUGACCUUAGCUCUAAAUCUCUCCGGAAGAGAUCUUAAAAUUUUUCGAACCACCUUAAAGUUAGAGAUGGGUUCACCUAGAUUGAAGCUAGAAUUCACAAUGUCCAUCAGUUUUGCAUGAAAUUCUCCAAAAGUUCCAUGAUCAUCCAUUCUAGUGGUCUUAAACCUAGAUGUCAACAUUUGAAGUUUGGACACUUUCACGACAUUAGUUCCUUCAUGAGUCACUUGGAGGAUAUCCCAAGCUUACUUAGCCGAAGUACAUGUAGCAAUCCUACGAAAUUCAUCCGUACUAAUGGCAUUGAAGAUGGAGUACAUGGCUCUAGCAUUAUUCUCACUUGCUUCAUUUUUACUUCUAUCCCAUUCCAAUUUAGGCUUGAUAACAUUAGUUGGUCUACCUUCUUUAUCCAACACCUUAGGUGGAGACCAACCAAAUUCAACGGAGUUCCAAACUUUUUCACUUUGCAUUUUGAGAAAAUAUUGCAUUCUCACUUUCCAAUGAGAAUAAUUUUCGCUAGUUAAAAAUGGUGGUCUCCCAAUGGAAACUCCCUCUUGAUGAGGUUCCAUGAUUGAGAUUCAAUGACUGAAAAUGAUUUUUUUCUUUAAAAACCUGCUUUGAUACCAAUUGAAAAGGUAAAUCUCAAUACAUCUAGAGGGGGGGUGAAUAGGUGUUGUAGAACAAUUUAAAAUUUUUCCCAACAAAGAUUACCUAACCUUAGACUUUCUCAAUAUCAAGAAACUUCUCUUCCAACAACUAUUCAACAAAGCAUAACAUCCACAAGCAAGAAUGUAUGCACCAACACUCUCCCAACAAUUUAUAAAUGCAAUACACAUGCAAAUGCUUCAACAAUCCUAAAAAAUAAAUCAAAAGAACAAAUAUCUCCUCAACUCAUAUCAAUUUACUUCAUGAUAUCAUUAACCAAAAUGAGCAGAAAAAUUAUUAAGGAUAUUCCAUGGAUCAUUACACUUAUAUCACCUCAUAUUUCUUCCAUUCAACAUGUUUGCCCAAGUAAUCAAUGAUAUCAAAAACAUAAAUUAGAUCAAAGUGUAAAGUGAGAGAAAGAGACAAUUAACACCGGAUUUUAACGUGGAAAACCUCCGAAGAGAUAAAAAACCACAGGCCUACCACCAAUUGAAAAACUCCACUAUGAAGAAUAAAAACCGAGUACAAGGUUUUACCUAGCUUAAGCCAACCAAUCAUUCCUGGACCACUUGACUAGUACCUUCACUUUCAGCUUCUCACCUUCAUCUUUCGGAGCACACUUGGAGUCCGCACCAAGCUCAAUCUUGGCAUCUUCUUGAAUCCACACAAGAAGAAAAUGAUUUUUUGCACAAACCCAAAUAGAAUGAGAGAUUGAGAUAUGAAUGAAGGAAUGAAUCAACCCAUUUAUUGCUCAAGAAAAUCCAUUAAAAACUAGUUUGGAAAACGUUAAGAGAAUUGGAUUUUCUUUGCAACCAAAAACCCCCAAAUUAGGAAAAGAGAUGAGAAAAUGAAAAACACAUGGAGUGGCUACAGCUCUCUCCACAUUUUCUGCAGUCUCUACCCAGAAAAUGAGAGAAGAAUGAUUUUUAAAGUGUCAAAAGAAACCUUUAAUCUAAUGGCUAAGAUUUGAUCUUAAAAACAAGUUAGUUGGAUCAAUCUGCCCCUGAACUUGGAUCGAUCCAAAAAUAGGGGAAUAAAAGCCUUGCACUAAAAACCAUUUCUCCCAUCUUUCUAACACAUUUAAAGAUUAAAAACAAGGUUGAUUCACAUUCAAUCAUCACACACUUGGCUACAUACCUCGGCCUCUUAGCAAAGUCUUAGUCUUCAAAGUCAAGUAGUCCGAAGAGGAAUUGGAAAGACGAGUUAGGGGACACUUAAGAAUUUUGUCUAGAAUUGCCAACCUAGCUAAACACUCACAGAAAGGGCUGCUCAACUAUGGAAAUCUGGUCGCCCUAGUGAAUUAGUGAACAAUUCACUGGAAGUUUCAAAUUUCUUACACAGCGUGGCCUAUUCAUUUUCAAGUUUAGCUAAACCUAGAGUAGAAAUAAUACUAAUACAGGAUAAUUCCAACUUCUCUAUAGAAUUGGGAUUAUGGGUACAUAUUGUCACGGACUUAGUCGUUCACUAAGCUCGUGCGACACUUAGGCAAGUCAAGACGCUUGAUCUUGCUAAGUCAGCCUACCCCCAAUGCUUAGCUUGCUAGGCUAAGAUGCUCACGACUCGAAAGCUUGAGAAGCUUAGUAGGAAACUCUUUAAAGAACGGAAGCUCUUAUUAACUCAAAGAAGCCUUUACAAGUGCUUGGAAGCUCACUUGCUUUGGUGCCUUGGCCAAAUGAGGCCCUCACCUAUAUAUAGGCACCAAUAGAACUCUCUGGAACCUUGGAGGGUUCCUUACAACUCAAGACUAUUCUAGAAUGUCCUACAUCAUUCUAGGUACAAGCCUAUGUACAAGUAUAUACAAGAGACUUCUGGAAUUCUCUAGAAAGCCCUAGACUCCUCUCAUGCCUUCCACCAUAGUGUAGAAUUGUGUGGAUUUCUCCAGGCUUCUCUAGAACCUUCCACACUCUUCCCACUCUAGGAGUUUCCAGAAGCUUCCUGGCUCUAUAUAAGCCCACAGGGAGGCUCAUUUGAAUCAGCUUGUGACACUCUCCCCCACUUAAGCUGCAGAAGUCCUCGUCGCACUUUCUACUCGGAAUCGCUCAAUUUGCUCCUAGAACUGCCAUAGGGCAUCUGCUGGCUCCCAACUAGCCUCGCUCUCUGGUAGUCCCUUCCAUUUCACUAAGUAUUCCGUAGCAGGAGGUACAUCUCGUCUCCUGAUGACCCGGUCUGCAAUGAUGUGGUCCAUCUCCUUCUCAUAGGAGGUCACGACCGUUGUAGGUGCCCUCUUAGACAACCCUUGGCUCGGAUCAUCCUUGUCUUCGUGAUAGGGUUUCAAGUAACUUACAUGGAAGAUAAGAUGAAUCUUCAACCUUGGUGGUAGCUCAACUCUAUAGGACACCUUGCUGACCUUCCCAAGUAUGGGGAAUGGUCCUUCAUACCUUCUCACCAGGCCCUUAUGCAUCGGCCUUAGGGAUUUGAAUUGUUGAGGAAGGAGCUUGACAAGCACCAUGUCUCCGACCUUGUACUCCGUGUGUCGUCGCUUCUUGUCAGCCCACUUCUUCAUUUUCUUAGCGUCCUUGUCCAAGUAUGAGCGUGCUAUGUCAGCUUGCUCGUGCCACCCUUUCGCGAACUUGAAGGCCGCUAGACUUUUCCUCGUAUAGCCAAUCGUUAGAGUGUGAGGAGUUAAUGGUUGUUGCCCUAUGGCUAGCUCGAACGGGAUCUUAUUGGUUGCCUCACUCUUUUGCAGGUUGUAUGAGAAUUGGGCUAUGUCUAGCAGCUUAGCCCAAUCCUUCUGGUUGGCACUACCCGACCACACCAAGGUCUUUGAAGUACACACAGAUGCCUUAGACUUCGCUAUUGGGGGAGUCCUUAUGCAAGAAAGGCACCAGAUCGCAUUUGAGAGUCGCAAGCUAAACGACACAGAGAGGCGUUACACGGUGCAGGAAAAGGAGAUGACUGCCAUCGUCCACUGCUUGCGCACUUGGAAGCAUUAUCUUUUGGGGUCUCACUUCAUAGUGAAGAUUGACAAUGUUGCCACUAGCUACUUCCAGACACAAAAGAAGCUAAGUCCUAAAUAAGCUAGGUGGCAAGACUUUCUAGCCGAGUUCGACUAUACGCUGGAGUAUAAGCCAGGAAGUGUUAAUCAUGUGGUUGACGCCCUAAGCUGCAAAGCGGAGCUAGCGUCCAUGAUGAGUCAGCCCCAAGGAGACAUAAUGGAUAUUCUAAGGGAAGGACUGCAACAUGAUCCAGUGGCUAAGAGUCUCAUUGUCCUGGCUCAUGAAGGGAAGACCAAGCGGUUUUGGGUGGAGGACGACCUACUAUACACUAAGGGGAGACGACUUUACGUGCCUAAGUGGGGAAACAUAAGGCGGAAUCUGACAAAUGAGUGCCAUGACACCAAGUGGGCUGGGCACCCUGGGCAACGACGCAUGAGGGCACUACUCGAGUCGGCUUACUACUGGCCUCAGAUACGGGAUGAGGUUGAGGCCUAUGUGAGGACUUGUCUUGUGUGCCAACAAGACAAGGUGGAGCAACGACAACCUAGAGGCUUGUUGGAGCCACUACCUGUAGUAGAGCACCCAUGGGACAGCGUCACCAUGGACUUCAUCAUUGGGCUACCCAAGUUAGAGGACAGCGGCUCUAUCAUAGUGGUGGUGGACAGGUUCUCUAAGUAUGCAACCUUCAUAGCAGCCCCAACUGACUGCACCGCGGAAGAGACGGCGAGGCUAUUCCUAAAACAAGUAGUCAAGUAUUGGGGGUUACCCAAGUUCAUCAUCAGUGAUCACGAUCCGCGUUUCACUAGGAAGUUUUAGACGAAGCUUUUCAAGCUUAUGGGUUCGGAGCUUCACUUCUCCAUAAGCUUUCACCCACAGAUGGAUGGGCAAACAAAGAGGGUGAACGCCUUAUUGGAGCUCUACCUAAGGCACUUCGUGAGUGCCAACCUGAAGGAUUGGGCUAAGCUGCUAGACAUAGCCCAGUUCUCAUACAACCUACAAAGAGUGAGGCGACCAAUAAGAGCCUGUUCGAGCUAGCCACAGGUCAGCAACUGUUAACUCUUCACACUCUAAUGAUUGGCUAUACGGGGAGAAGUCCAGCGACCUUCAAGUUAGCCAAAGAGUGGCACGAGCAAGCUGACAUAGCACACUCAUACUUGGACAAGGCCGCUAAGAAAAUGAAGAAGUGGGCUAACAAGAAGCGACGACACAUGGAGUACAAGGUCGGAGACAUGGUGCUUGUCAAGCUCCUUCAUCAACAAUUCAAAUCCCUAAGGUCGGUGCAUAAGGGCCUGGUGAGGAGGUAUGAAUGACCAUUCCCCAUACUUGGGAAGGUCGGCAAGGUGUCUUAUAGAGUUGAGCUACCACCGAGGUUGAAGAUUCAUCCCGUCUUCCACAUAAGUUACUUGAAACCUUAUCACGAAGACAAGGAUGAUCCAGGCCGAGGGUUGUCUAAGAGGACACCUACAACGGUCGUGACCUCCUAUGACAAGAAGGUGGACCACAUCAUUGCAGACCGGGUCAUCAGGAUACGAGGUGUACUUCCUGCUACGAAAUACUUAGUGAAAUGGAAGGGACUACCAGAGAGCGAGGCUAGCUGGGAGCAAGCAGAUGCCCUAUGGCAGUUCCAGGAGUAAAUUGAGCGGUUCCGAGCAGAAAGCGCGACGAGGACGUCUACGGCUUAGGUGGGGGAGAGUGUCACAAGCUGAUUCAAAUGAGCCUCACCAUGGGCUUAUAUAGAGCUAGGAAGCUUCUAGAGACUCCUAGAGUGGGAAGAGUGUGGAAGGUUCUAGAGAAGCCUGGAGAAAUCCACACAAUUCUACACUAUGGUGGAAGGCAUGAGAGGAGUCUAGGGCUUUCUAGAGAAUUCUAGAAGUCUCUUGUAUAUACUUGUACAUAGGCUUGUACCUAGAAUGAUGUAGGACAUUCUAGAAUAGUCUUGAGUUGUAAGGAACCCUCCAAGUUUCCAGAGAGUUCUAUUGGUGCCUAUAAAUAAGUGAGGGCCUCAUUUGGCCAAGGCACCAAAGCAAGUGAGCUUCCAAGCACUUGUAAAGGCUUCAUUGAGUUAAUAAGAGCUUUCGUUCUUUAAAGAGUUGCCUACUAAGCUUUUCAAGCUUCCGAGUCGUGAGCAUCUUAGCCUAGCAAGCUAAGCAUUGGGGGUAGGCUGACUUAGCAAGAUCAAGCGUCUUGACUUGCCUAAGUGCCGCACGAGCUUAGUGAACGACUAAGUCCAUGACAAUAUGCUGGAAAUACUUUGUUCCUUAUGGUCUUUGUAAAGCUUAUGUUGAUCUUUUUAAUUAGUGGCCUUGACCAUUCCACCAUUCCAAAUUAAGCUAUCACUUCAUUUCAAUACCACAAUCCAUGCAUGAACUAUUUUAUUCUGAGAUAUUUUUUUUCACCAUAUAUAAUGAUGCUAAAUAAAAGGAACUAAAUAAAAAAUCAAAACAUAGGACCCUGCAUCACACCUCUCUAGUUUACUUACAGACUCAAUACUUCACAUAUAUAUGCAAUGCCUUCUCCUGGUUAGAUCUUUCAUUUUCACAAAUUGAACCUAUAAACCCAUAUAUAAUAGGAUGGGUAACUAACCAUGGCAGAACUAUUACUUUUCAUGGAAGCUAGCUAGAUAUGAUCUAAUGUAAUUAACAAUGCAUUCCUGAUUCUUUGUGAUGCUUUAUAACCUAGGAAGUCCAUUUGCUUACCAUUUAUCACAUAUAUAGACUUGAUCUGAUCAAGGCAAUAAAUAAUGGCAAUCCUUUAUAGCCCAACUACUUUUGUUUAAGGGUUUUCUUUUACCAUGCAUACCUUUGAUAUCUCAACUUAUGUGCAUCAAUUAACAUAUAUGAGAUAGGGGUUCAUGUCUUCCUAGUAUGCACAACUUUCUACCAAAAAGUCUUGCGUGUGGAGGUAUGAUUUAAGGUCCUGGAUGAAAUGAGAAAAAUGAGCCUGCUUAGAUGAAGAUGGGGUUGAAGGAAAAGUGCUUGAAGUUUUCUUAGUAAUCCAUCCAUUUUGCUUCACCUAAUUAGAUGAAGGGAGAAGCGCAAAUAUAGAAGGUAGAUUCACUUGGAGUUUCUCUUAUUUUACCUUAUCAGAUCCCUAGACCUAGCCAAUUAAUUAACCAGGACCACCAUCCACCAAUGGUUUAUGUCCAUUUAUAAAUACAGUCAAUUAUAUGCUGCCACGUCCUUCAUUGUAACCCCUGCCUUGUAAACCGGUCCUUGUUGUUUGGAAACGCUGCCCAGCAAUGGUUUAAUAUAGUAUGAGAGAAACCACAGAAAAAUCUAUAGGACAUUCAUAAAUUUUUACCUACCGCAUAUUGACCUGGUCUCUUGCAUUCACUAUUUUGGCUCUUAAAAGUAAGGGUCUCCAAAAAGCCCGCGGCUCGGCCUAAGCCCGGCCUGGCCUGGCGGGCUAAAGCUCGGCCCGAGCCCAUUUUUGGAUGGGCCGGGCCAUGGGCCCCAAAUUAGGCCCAGCCUGUAGGCCCGCCCAUAGGCUCGCCCGUAGGCCCGCCACUUUAAAAAAAAUAUAUAUAUUAAAAAAAAUAUUCAAGAAAUAGAAAAUGUUACAUUAAUAAAAAUAUUCAUUGUUAACUAUUUUAUUCAUUGAAUGUAUACAUUACAUUUGAAAAUGUGGGAAAAGUUUACAUUACUACAAAAUAAAUACAUCCCAACUAGGUUGGCAUCUACUUAUUUGUCAAUCAUUUGUACUUUUCAACCAUAAAAAUAAAAAUAAAAAUAAAAAUAUGACAUACAUUUAGUAAAAUAUUUUAAUCAUUAUCUCUUGGCGGUGAUGGCGAACUAGUGAAAUUGAAAGGUUGUUCUGCUCUUAUUAUAUAACCAAUCAUUUCUUCACGACAAUAAGAUUCAUCAUAAGAAAAUGUUUUUAAAUUUCCACUUUCAUCUUUACCUAAUUGCAUAUAAUUUCUAAUAUCUACAUUAUUUUUAAUUUUACAAUUUUCAUGAUGCCUUUUUAAAUGACUUGUACCUGCAUUUGAGCCACCACUAAGAAGUUUGUUACAAAUUUUACAUUUUGCUUUUAGUUCUUUUUUAUUAUUUUCUAAAUUUAUUUCUAUUCUAUAAAAAAAAUUCCAUAUAUUUGAAGUAAAUUUUUUGCUAUCACAUGCAUUAGAUGAAGAACAAGAACCACUUGUCAUAAUUAUAAUUAUUGAUAAAAUAUUAUGCUAAAAAUAAUAAAUGUAAAAUUAAAAUGUAACAAAUAAAUAAAAGAAAAGGUGAAGUAUGUUACUAAAUUGGAGAACCGAAGCAGAAAUUCCUUCAAAUUUGAACUCUUUGAACCACCAAUGCUUGUUUUUCACCACCAAUAAUAUUGAAUAAUUUGAGACAAAAUGCAAUAAUCGGAAAUAUUGUGGAAUGGGAGAGAGCUUAAGAGUUGAGAAAAUAGAAAAAAAUUGAGGGUAUUUAAUAUUUAUAGAGGUUUAAAUAUUAGGAUUUAUUUAUUUAUUUUUUUUAAAUUUCAAGACCGUUCAACGGUCAUAUAUUUGAAAUUGAAUUAUGAGUGGCAUGUUCAACGGUCAUGUAACCGUUGAACAACCAACUCACUUUUAUUUUUUUUCAAAAAUCAUACAAUAUUUCUAAUAUAUAUAUAUAUAUAUAAUUAAUGCAAAAUAGUUACACAAAAGAGGGCCAGCUCAGUUGGUGGCUAGCUCCCUUAUGGUUCCAUAAGGAAAGGAGUUCGAAUCCCCUUCCCUUCAAAAUUAAAAAUUAUUUUAAUUUUUACCCUAGCUCGCCAAGCUCGCCAAGCCCACCCAGCUUGAGGGCCUACGGGUCGGGCACAGGCCUUAGAUAUAUCAAGGGCCCGGCCAGGCCCGGCCCGGCCUGUUGGAGACCCUUACUUAAAAGUAAGUGGACCAGGCCUAACAUGGGCACUGAAUUCAAUACCUAGGUGCAUAAAGGUCUUCUGUUUAAGAAUAUGCCUCAAAGACUUACAAUGGUCAAUAGCUGACUACUCUGCCCAUAUGAUUCUUCGUCUGUGCCACACACGAAUCUUUUUAAUUAUUUUGUGUCAAACAUACCCGACUUUAUAGUUUCUGACUUCUUCAGGUUUUUGCUUGUUCCAUAUCUAGCAGGUUUUUAACUUUUAUGGAGUCAACAAUUUCAAGCAAGUGACAUCUUAAAUGUUGUUUUCUACAAAAAAACAAAAAAAAAAAACCAGAAAUGUAACUCACUUGUAUCCAAUCGAAGAUUGUAGCAAAAUUGAAUUGCAAACCAAACACACAAAAGAAGUCCAAAAGAAUAUUUCUUUCUUUCACAGUUCAUUAGCAAUAUUACAGUCUACCCGUGAUUAUUCACUCUCUAAACAAUGGUUAUGAAUCUAAAUGCAAAGCCUGAGGGAUACGAUUGGGAGUAGCUGAGUAAAACAAGGUCAUAUCAUCUCUGCUUGUCCCAUUCGACCUGAAAGAAAGCAAGGUAUUGCUUAUCAUGCCUCCACUGGUGCCUCUAGUUCUGCUGCAUUGCUUGCUGCCUCAUCAAUUGUUCUUAUUCAUGCUCCUACAGUCUUAGCAAACCUGGAUACACUCACUCCUGAAAUGGUACAACAAAUUAUCAUUUCUAUUUUUUCUGCUUUUGGGCUCUCAGGUAAUCAUACGAUUUCUUCUAAGCCAUGGUAUUUUGACUCUGGAGCUUCUAACCAUAUGACGAAUACUGUUUUUUCUCUUUCCAAUGUUAGAAAUUAUGAUGGAAAUCUGAAAAUUAACACUGUUGAUGGCAGUUCUCUGCCUAUCAGUGCUGUUGGUGAUCUUUCCUCUUCCUUAAUUGAUGUUUUUGUGUCUCCUGACCUCUCGAAAAAUCUUAUUUUUGUUGGUCAAUUGGUUGAUAAUAAUUGUAAUGUCAAUUUCUCCCGUUCUGGUUGUGUUGUGCAGGAUCAAGUGUCCGGGAAGAUGAUCAUGAAGGGGCCUAAAGUGGGACAACUCUUUCCUCUUCAUGUUUCUCCUUUCACUAUUAUUUCUAGUUUUCAUUUACUUUUCUUUGCAUGUAAUGUUGUUGGUUUUGGACAUAAGAUGUGGCAUAGACGUCUUGGUCACCUAAACUCUGAUGUACUUCGUACUUUGUUUAAUUCUGGAUUAUUGGGAAAUAAAACAUGUUCUUCUCUUGAUAUUUAUUUCGAUUGUACGUCAUGAAAACUUGGUAAAAGUAAAGUUCUACCUUUUCCUCAUUCCGCAUCUCAUGCCUCACAAUGUUUUGAUAUUAUACAUAGUGAUCUUUAGGGGAUUUCACCUAUUGUUUCUCAUGCACAUUAUAAGUACUUUAUUACUUUCAUUGAUAACUUUAGUUGUUUUACUUGGGUUUAAUUCCUCCGGGCUAAGGCUGAAGUUUUUUCAGUCUUUAAGCACUUUUUUGCACUUAUUGAGACUCAAUUCUCUACCAGCAUCAAGGUCUUGUGCUCUUAUUCUGGCGGAGAAUACAUGUCUAAUGAGUUUCAAGACUUUCUUCAAGGCAAAGGGAUCAUCUCUCAGCGUUCUUGUCUUUCGACACCACAACAAAACGGUGUUGCUGAGAGGAAAAAUUGCCACCUUCUUGAUAUGGUAAGAACUCUUUUACUUGACUCAUUGGUUCCUCCUCAUUUUUGGUGUGAAACACUUUCUACUGCAAUUCAUUUGAUCAAUCGCUUACUCUCUCCUAUGUUAAAUCAUGUUUCUCCUUUCUCUAAGUUGUUUGAUCAUUCUCCUUUAUAUUCUGAUCUUCGUACAUUUGGUUGUGUUUGUUUUGUGCAUCUACCUACUCAUGAACGACAUAAGCUUACUACUCAGUCUGUUAAGUGUGUUUUCUUGAUUAUGUUAUCCCUCACAAGGGUUAUGUUUGUUAUGAUCCCUGUGCCUGUUGUAUACGAGUUUCCUGGAAUGUGAUUUUCUUUGAAAUAUCAAUAUUUCUUUCCAUCUCAUGUUGAGCUCCAUCUAUAUCUGUAUCUCUUCUACCUAGUUUUUCCGAAUCCCCAACAAUUGUGGAAAGGUUCAAACCUGGUUUUGUGUAUGAAAGACGUAGUCAACAUGAGUCCGGUUCCACUUCCUCUAUGCCCCAUUCCGAUCUUGACCCGACGCCUGAUCCUACUCCUGCUUCCACCACUCUUCGUCGGUCUACUCGUCUUUCUUGACCCCCUGAUUGGUAUGGAUUCUUCUCUCCUGUCUCUCUUGUUACUACUUUAUCCAAUAUUUCUAUUCUCUUUUGCUACAAACAGGCCAUGGAACAUGAGUGUUGGCAAAAUGCAAUGCAAGCAGAACUUCAAGCACUUGAGGAGAAUCAUACUUAGGAUAUUGUUCCUUGUCCUGCUAUAGUCAAACCUAUUGGGAGUAAAUGGGUUUUCUCUGUAAAACUUUGUUUUGAUGGCUCUUUGGAUUAGUACAAAACUCGUCUCGUAGCUUUGGGUAACAAGUAGGAAUAUAGGGUUAAUUAUGAGGAGACAUUUGCUUUUGUUGCCAAAAUGACCACGGUUCGUACCAUCUUAGCUAUUGUUGCUUCACAAUCAUGGCAACUACAUCAGAUGGAUGUAAAGAAUGUUUUUCUUCAUGGUGAUCUCCAGGAAGAGAUUGACAUGAAGCUUCCCUCUGGUAUGAUUAAUUCUUCUCUCAUGAUGUUUGUAAGCUAAAACGUUCUUUGUAUAGGCUCAAGCAAGCGCCCCAAGCUUGGUUUGAGAAGUUUCGUAGUACAAUUCUUUCCUUUAGUUUUACCCAAAGUUAGUAUGAUUCUUCCAUCUUCUUCCACACAUCUGCGUUGGGUAUAGUCCUUCUCUUGGUUUAUGUGGAUGAUAUUAUCAUUACUGGCACUGACUGUGGUUUGAUUACUAAGCUUCAGCGGAUGUUACAUACAACUUUCCAUAUGAAAGAUCUUGGACAGCUCACAUACUUCUUAGGAUUGGAAGUUCAUCAUUGGGCUAGUGGUAUUUUCGUGAACCAGCAUAAGUAUAUUCAAGAUCUUAUCACUUAAUUUGGCUGGUUUGGCGGACACUUCUUCUGUUGAUACUCCUAUGGAGGUAAAUGUCAAAUACAGGAAAGAUGAAGGGAACCUUCUGGAUGAUCUUACUCUUUAUCGGCGCCUGGUUAGGAGUCUUAUCUACUUGACCACUACUCGACAUGAUAUCUCCUAUGUUCUUCAUCAGGUCAAUCAGUUUAUGACUUCUCCUCGACAUCUCCAUCUUGUUGCAGUUCGGCGUAUCAUCCGCUAUCUUCAAGGUUCACCUACUCGUGGGUUAUUCUUUCCUACCAUAUUCUCUUUUCAACUUGUUGCAUAUAGUGAUGCUGAUUGGGUUGGGUGUCUAGAUACAUGUCGAUCUACUAUGGGUUGGUGUAUUUUUUAGGUGAUGCCUUAAUUUCUUGGAGAUGUAAGAAACAAGAUCGUGUUUCUAAAUCCUCUUCUGAGGCCGAGUAUCGUGCCAUGUCUACUGCUUGUUCUGAAAUUGUAUGGCUACGUAGUCUUCUUGAGGAGCUUGGGUUUCCUUAGACUACUUCUACACCUCUUCAUGCUGAUAACACUAGUGCUAUUCAGAUUGCCACCAAUCCCCUUUUUCAUGAAUGUACCAAGCACAUUGAGGUUGAUUGUCAUUCUAUUCGAGACACCUUGGAAAGUUGGGUGAUAUCUCUUCCUCACAUCUCUUCUGAUCUCCAAGUGGCUUAUAUCUUCACCAAAGCUUUGACUCGACAAUGACAUCAAUUUUUUGUUGGCAAAUUGUUGCUGGUUGACUUACCAACAUCAAUUUGAGGGGGGAUGUUAAUGUUACCAUAUACAAUUUAGGAAUCAUAUUGGUUGUACAUAUAGGAAUGUUAAUGUUACCAUAUACAAUUUAAGAAUUAUAUUGGUUGUACAUAUAGGAAAAGAUUGACUUAUUGGCUUACCAUGUAUUUGUUAAUGUUACCAUAUACAAUUUAGGAAUCAGUUAGACUCCGUGUAUAGGAUAUAUAUCAUUAUAUAGAUAGAUGCAAUGAAAUAUAAAAAAACUGAUCAAAGAUAUCGGUUUUUGUGGAUUUUUUUUUUAGUAUUUUGACAUCUAUAUGAAUCAAUCUUUAAAAGAGAAGCAAGAACAAUCGAGUAUCAAAUAUUACCUUCUCUAUGGAAAUAUUUUAGGGCCAUGCUCAAGAUAAAAGGGCUUGAUGUCUUUAGCUGCAAAUAGAGGACGUCUCUAAUCAUUCGGAGCAGUUAGCAUGGCAGUCACAAGACCACCCGUGCUUGUUCCAGCUAUCACAUCGAAGUAGUUUGUAAUCCUUGCAUCAUCACCAUCCAGCUCCUGAUAUAUUCAAUAUUGUAUUGUUUGUGGUUAGUGUUACCUAAAUCCAUUAUUUUAUCUUAUAUUUAAAGAAAAGUCACUCCAAGAACCCUACUUUGAUAUGUAGUAGAAUAGAUAGAGAUGAAAUAUGUGCAAACGAUCAUCCACAUGAUAUUAAAUAAUUUAUACCUAAAGUUGUGAUUCCAGGAAAGCAAGGAUAGUUGCAGGAAUGAUGCCCCUGAUACCACCUCCAUCAAUACUAAGAAUGGUGAGGUUACCAUAAGUUUGGGGCUGGAUUUGAGUUAAGAGUGAUUUCUCCAUCUGAAAAAUGAUAAUUGUAGGAUUGUAUGCACUAACUUACAAGAAACUAAGAAACCCUUGGAUAAAAGGAAGAUGUGAAGAAAAGGAAAAAAGCUUGAGGCACCAAGAAAGAUGGCCUUGAGUAAGAAAAGGAUGAGAAAAAGGACACAAUGCUCGAGUUGUCUUCUUCUUGUGUUGGAAUAUUGCAUUGUCCAAAAUCUAUUUAUAGGCUAAUCGAGCAGCAAGGCAAGUGCUAUAGAAUGCGGUUACUGACGAGAAUUUGAAAAUCAAGAAAACUCGACGAACAUGAGAUGGUCAUGGAGUGCAUGCAUGGUCUUCUUUGACAUUGUCCAUGGUCCAGAUUACGUUUCUGUGACCACACUUUCCUACAUUUUUUGAAGACAGAAUUUUCUCGCGUGAAGACUUUAUGAUUGACGAGUAGGUAAUGUGAUAUGCUGAUGAAGUCAGCUUCUAGCACAGAGCCCCAUUAAUAGGAUAUUGUUGAAUUGGAGAAUGUUUCCACACACUCAAAAUGGGGCGUUGUUUUAGCAUCAAGAAAUUGUCAUCUUCAUUAGCUUGUUGGAAUUGAGAUGUAUGACUGAUGACUUGUUAGGAUUUAUUUGAAAAUAAAGUCCAAGCUUGCUGCUUCUUCGAGGGUAGCAUACCAUAUAAAGCUCUGUCUCUCUCUUUCUCUCUCUCUCUCUUAUAAGGACAGUGAUGAUCGUCCAAAGAAGAAUUCCCAAGCAGGCAGAGAUGCACAACUGCAAGUAAUUACACACAGAAUGAAGGCGGCUGGCCAGAUUUAACAUGAGAAAAUCAUGAUUAAUACAUGAUUCUUCACCAAUAAUUGAGUUGAAUGAGUCCACUAUUCAAAUCACAUCGUUCAAAAAAAAAAAAGAAAACAGAUAAUUCAAAUCACAUUAUUAAUGAGUGGGCCGGUCUCAUUUAAGAACACGAUUUGACAUGCAAAAUUAAUGGAUCCAUCCAUAUACAACAUCUACCACAACUCAUGAGAAGAAAUUCUGGUUAUUCUAAUAAUUCACCAUUUUUCUUCAUGGAAUUAGUUAUGAAAUAGUCCCAAUUUAGUACUAUUAGAGAGAGUAUCAAGGAAAAUAUUUGGUAGGUGGGCGGUGAAUCAAGUUAAUUAGAUGGUGAAGAAAAACUAAUGAGAGAUGAACUUAAUCAACAAGGUGUACCUCUUUUUUCUGUUGUUACCUCAUAUGCUAUGUAUAAUAUGCUAGUUAAUCCAACUGUGUUAGACAUUGCUGCUACUUAUAAUUGCCGAACAAAAGGUAAUAACUCUUGCUAAAAGUGGCCUUCAUCAUAAGUGUUCUGCAAACGAACUGCGUGCUUCUUGAAUGUGGAGAUAUGGCUGCUCCCACGAAGUUUCCAUACCACAUUUUGAAGUAUAGCUAGUUCUCGUUCUGAUAUUAAUCCACACUAAUGCUGGCAGAUUCCAACACUGGUAUAAUACCAUGUUUUCCAUCUUUUUUUUUUUCCUGUAUAUACACAUAUUAUAAAGUCCAUGUUACAUGUUUAAUAACCAAAGAAAGAUAAAUUAAUGAACAUGCAAAUGAAUGCUCAUGCUUACAAGAUGAUUAUUUUGAUCUUCUAUGAUAGUGAAACGACGUUGAUCUCUUCUAUAUAUAUAAUUAGUACAACUAGCAGUCUGCUUUGUCAUGCUGUUGCAUCCUUCUAUUCUUGUAUUUGUGUACUGGGGACAAAUCGUUCUUUGUAUUUGUGUACAAGGGACAAAUCAAACCAUGAGGAUCACAUGACAACACGACACCAUGCUCAUCACAAAUGUUCAUUUGCUCAUGAAACAUAUGGAGCGGGCAACCAGGACAAAUCGACUAAUCAUUACAUGCACGGCAUUAUGUUCAUGAAACAUAUGCUAAAUAUGGCGUAAUAAAUUUUAAAAAAUAAUUAGAGAAAGAGUGUACGUAAGGGAAAAAAAAAAAAAAAAAAAAACUAAUUAAAAACAUGAUGAAGAUGACAAGAUGGUGAAAGAAAUUUUUCACCAAACAUUUGAUUAUUAACUAUAGAAACAUUUGACUAUGUAACCCUGCUACCUUUUUUUAAUAUUGGGGUAGGUACUGUCGUUUCAUCGAAAAUGAUGUUGUAUUACUUGGCAAACAAAGAUGGUGGUAAGUUUGGAAUAAUGCAAUAUAUGAUUUGCAUGCUUUAUUCCUUGGUAAUAUUAUGAUUUUUUACAAAAAUAUUCUUUAAUCGACUUGGGCAGUGUCGGGUCUAGAAAGGCUGCAUCAGUGCCUAGUGAUUCUCAAUCAGAUGUAUAUCUGGACCAUUAGGGAACCAAGAUAAUAUUUUUGUGUUUGUGUCGCUGUUGUCCUUUAAAACUAUUUAAUAAUUUGUUUUCUCAUGCUUGUAGUUUUUGAAAUAAAGUUAAUUCAGGUAGACCAGUUUUUAAUCAGACCUCAAUGCAACAUAUCUUCCCAUCCUACCCAAGAGAAGCUACUGAAAGCUCCUAUGACUGAAGAGAGACAACAAGGAUUCUAUCCUUCUAGAUCGACCUAGCACUCUCUUUUAGAUUCUAUCCAUCUAUUUGUUCUCAUCUUAUUUCUGGGAAGUUCUGUCUUACCCUAAUUAUCAUAUAUAUAUAUAUAUAUAUAUAUAUAUGUUUCAACCCAUCUCAGUGUCUCUUGUAGAUUUAUAAAGGAUAUAUAAGUAUUAUUUCUAGUCCAUUCUAAUUAAUUGCCAUUCCCAUAAUUUAGGUUGAUACAAAAAUAGAACUUAUUCAAGAAAAUAAUAGAAAUCAUUCAAUCUUGUCCUUAAAAUGUUGUGAGAAAUAGAGGUCGCACUAAAUCACAAUGAGUCUGAAUUGCAUAGACGCAAGCACAAAAUCAAAACCAUAGAAGAAAUUCAGUAAAAUCUAUGGACUUACAAUACCUUAAUACUAAAAAUGCUUAAAUUGGUUAUUAAAAAUAUCCCAUUUGGGAUUUAUUUUUACAAUAAGAAUAGUGAAUUAAAAGGCAGACAAUCAGAAACGGGACUCCAACUUAACUAGAAAUUCAUUACAACAGUAGGAAUCAUUCAUAUCAGACAACGACCAAUCCUUUAGAAGCGGCAGCAUGUCCAUGUGGUGACCUAGUAUCUCUACGUUGCUUCUCUUGGGAGAGUAGUCUUGCAAAACUGAAAAAUUAGAAGGAUUUUUUAUUAUUAUAUGAUUAGUUAAUUAACUAAGAAAGCUCUAGAAUAAAACUCUAAAAAUAGUUAGAUACCUUGUGAGAGCCUCCUCAUUGGUCUCGUGAUUUGAAGGCUCAAAGAUACCUGUAUCCAGGUUAACCCUUGAGACCCUUUUCUUUAACAACUCCUCACCAAUUUUCACAAGAUCAUCCAAAUUUUCCUUUGUGGCUAUGUCGACUGAUGAUGUUAUACCCCUCAAUGUAUCAUCCUGUAUUUACCCUUUGUGUCAGUAUCAGUGGUAGACAAGGAACAGAAGAAGCAAUUGACUUUCAGAUAUUUUUAGGACUGAGGAAAUUAUGAAGAAGAACAAAAUUUAAAUAAGAAAUUUGACUUUGUAAGUGACGGUAAAUUUAUGAAACCACAAGCAGCAAAGCUGUACCUGUAUCCGAAGAUAGCUUUUUUCCGAGUGAAGGGCUUGAAAAAGCUCUGAAAGGUGUAAGUCGAUCAUAUCUCCGCUUGCUUGGGUAAACACUUUCACUAAGGGGGUGGAACCACCACUGGUCAACCACCCCAACACACCCCACUUGGCUGCUUCAUCAGCAUUGUAUUUUUCUUCGGCUUUUGAUGACCCAGUUCCCAAGGAUAUUACUAGAAACCGGCCAUAGUCCAUUGGCUUUAUAGGAAAGAAAUCAGGACUACCCCGGAUGAUCUCCUUGGUCACUUCCCCAAUAGCAACCAAAGUCUGAAACAAGAAUCAAUAAUUAAUUGAAUUGUGAAAAGAAAAAUAAAACUGGGAAGUCUAAGAUGCAACUUCAAAGUUAAUGAGUACCGGAUUAUUUGCAGCUACACCACCAUCAAUGAGGUUGAAUUCUCUAACUCUCCCGGCAGGGUCUUUGGUUUCGAAAUAAUGAGCUGGAAGAUAAGUGGGUGCUGCUGAGGUUCCAAUACAUAUAUCUGACAGUAAGGCAUCUAAGCUUGGUCUGCUCUUCACCUAGAGCAGGGAAAUCAAGCAUAUAGUAUUAAUAUGAAAGUUAUUAUAGCUCCCGUCAUUCAUUACAAUCUCUUAAUUUUCAUAGUUUGGAUUAGAAGGAAAUGAAAUUGUGGAAAGAAGAUGAACCUGAUAAGUCGAAAAUAUUGUUGGCUGAAGGCGCUUGAUGUCAAAUGUUGGGAUAACAACAUUAGUAAGGGUCUGGUGUAAUCGUGUUUCACCUAGUUUUUCUUUAACAAGGUUGUGCAGAUACUUCCCAUCAUAUUUUGGUCCUGAUAAGGCUGUAACUACCUUUGUAACAUGAGGAAUUGGAUCAUGACUGCAUUUAAAAGAAAGAUCAUGUUAAUAACUACAAAAAAUAUUGAAGUCUAGUUAAUUUUAUAUACAUAAAUACUAGCAUCCUGUCAUCUUAAUCAAGAUGUUCAUCAUGAUAUAUUUGUUACCUGUGCUGUGGGAAGAUCUUAGGGCAGUGAUCAAGGUAGAAGUCCUUGAUAUCUUUGGCAGAAAACAAGGGUCGGCCAGUGUUUUCAUUGGGAGUAGUUAGCAUGGCAGUCACGAGGCCACCGGUGCUUGUUCCUGCAAUCACAUCAAAAUAAUCUGAAAUUCUCG